rnacentral:lncRNA from 1 species
AUUGGGUCGAGAGUGUUUGUGUUUCAUCUCACCUCGAUUUGUUUCUUUCAGCUAUGUGUCGUCGUUGAGGUCGACCGUCGUUACGGGAGCGUGCCCAGUUGUCGCAGGAUCGUGCGGGACCUUCCAAGAUGCCUGAGCAUGUGGAGCCGAGUGCCCGACAGGAGCAGAGUGCCCGACCAGAGGCGAGUGCACCCCGGAAUUUAAGUGCACAGAUAGCCGCCCUGACAGAGGUGACGAGGCGGCAGGGGGAGUUGUUGGAGAGGAUGUGCGAGAGGUUAGCUUCGCCCCAGAGUUCAGCACCGAGGGCACCAGAGUCGUCUGUUCCACCUUCGACUACCCCAGUGACAGCACCAGCAGCAGCAGUUCCUCCGCCAGCAGCCGUUCCAGUAGCGCCAGUUGCACCUGCUGGGGGGCCGGUACAGUUGACAGAGGCCGAGCAGGAGCGGUGGACAGAGAGGUUGGCCCGUUUUCGCCGUUUUGAUCCAUCGAUUUUCGAUGGCAGUUGCACUGAGCCCUGGGUUGUUGAGGGAUGGGUCAGUGAGAUGGAGAAGUUAUUUGAGGAUCUGUUCAUUCCUGAGGGGGAGCAGGGGUCUUUGGGAGUCCAUUGCUUGGCAGGUGAUGCCCAGGCCUGGUGGAAGAGAGUGAGGAGAGAGUAGGGACUGGUGGCGUUGCAGCUGAGAUGGCAUGAGUUCUGUGGAAUGCUGUUUGGGAUGUUCUUUCCCAACAGUGUGAAACAAAAACUCGAGGAGGAUUUGAAGAGGAUCCAGCAGGGGGAUCGUCCAGUAUAGGAGUAUAUUCGGGAGUUUACUCGACUCCUGAAUUGUGUGCCAUUUGUGACCAGAGACGAGGCACACAGGGUCUAUCUAUUUUAGCAGAGACUGAGACCCGACAUCUUCAGGUUGGCGCGGACGCAGAGGUCGAGGACCCUGAAUGCGUCCAUUGAGCAGGCCUUGUGGGUAGAGAGAGGUGAGGUGUCACUACAGGAGAGGACUCAGGCCGCGGGGCAGAGUCAGGAUAGGAAGCGCCCCUUUUCAGAUGAUGCUGGACCGUCGAGUAGCAGGCGUCCGCCGAGGUCUCCACGAUCACGCUCUCAGGGUCGUGGGUCUUCGGGGCGUCAGCGUUCCAGGGGAUCCCGUCAGCAGGGACGGACUCAGAGGACACCGCAGUGUGUGAUCUGCGGGGGACCACACUGGCCCCGACAGUGCGAGCAGAGAGAGGGCAGGUGUUAUGGUUGUGAUCAGCCUGGACAUAUGAGGUCAGCUUGUCCCCGUGCAGCAUCACCAGCGCCAUCCACUGCAUCAGCGCAGUCGGCAUCUCAGCCUUCUUUUGGAGCAACUCUGAGUUUCCGUCACGAGGAUAGAUCGUCUGUGCCCCAUCAGGGCGAGCGGCGACAGCAAGCUCCGAGUGGCAGAGUCUACGCAGCUCAGGUGGAGGACUCUACAACAGCCGACCGAGUGGUGGCAGGUAUCAUUUUGAUUUCCGGCAUUCGUACUCAUACUCUUUUUGAUACCGGUGCCUCGCAUUCUUUUGUUAGCCGAGCAUUUGCAUUGUUACAUGGUCUAGAGUUAGGGGCAUUGUCACAGGCACGAGAGGUGCAGAUUCCCAACCAUGUGUUACAGGUUACAGAGUGUUGUUGGUCGUGUCCGGUGCAGUUCGAUUCUUGGAUCAUGCCCGCAGACCUGUUGGUGUUAGGGCAGUUGCAGGACUUCGACGUCGUACUCGGUAUGGAUUGGCUGGUGCGGUACUAUGCUACGAUCGAUUGUGGAACGAGAACGGUGACGUUCCGCGAGCCAGGCUAGGAGGAGUUCACUUUUAGAGGUUGCACGAGCACGCUGUUUGCCACCUGGAUAUCUUCGGCGAGGGUUCGACAGAUGCUGAGUAGUGGAUGUAUCGCUUUCUAGCGACAGUUGUGGAGGUACCUACGGUGGCGCCGAAACUCGAGGAUAUCCCAGUAGUCCGCGAGUUUCCGGAUGUGUUUCCCCCUGAGUUGACUUUGUUGCCGUCGGAGAGGGAGAUUGAGUUUGUGAUUGAUGUAGUUCCUGUAACUGCACCAAUCUCGAAGGUACCUUAUCAGAUGGCACCGGCAGAGCUGAGAGAGCUAAAGGCGCAGCUUCAGGAUUUGAUGGAUAGACGGUUUGUGAGACCCAGUGUGUCGCCUUGGGGAGCGCCGAUAUUAUUUGUAAAGAAGAAGGAUGGUUCGCUCAGAUUGUGCGUAGAUUAUCGGGAGCUGAAUAAAGUGACCAUCAAGAACAAGUAUCCUUUGCCGCGCAUUGAUGACCUGUUUGAUCAGCUGUAAGGAUCUUGUGUCUUCUCGAAGAUUGAUCUCCACUCAGGUUUCCACCAGUUGAGGGUGAGGGCCGAGGAUGUUUUCAAGACGGCUUUUCGGACUCGGUACGGACAUUAUGAGUUUACAGUGAUGCCUUUUGGAUUGACGAAUGCCCCUGCCGCAUUUAUAGAUUUGAUGAACAGAGUGUUCAAGCCGUUCCUGGAUAGAUUUGUGGUAGUCUUCAUAGAUGAUAUCUUGAUAUACUCCCGGAGCGAUGUCGAGCACGAGGAGCACUUGAGGACUGUGCUACAGCUUCUCCGAGAGAAGAAGUGGUAUGCCAAGUUAAAGAAGUGCGAGUUUUGGUUACGGGAGGUCGCUUUCUUGGGUCACGUGAUAUCAGCUGAGGGAGUAGCAGUCGACCCGAAGAAGAUUGAUGUGAUUCGGGAUUGGCCCAGACCGACGACGGUGACUGAGGUGAGGAGCUUUCUUGGACUAGCAGGAUAUUACCGUCGAUUUGUGGAAGGCUUUGCGAAACUUUACACACCCCUCACUCGAUUGACGCGCAAGGGGAUUAGAUUCAUCUGGAGUGAGGAUUGUCAGAGGAGCUUUGGUGAGUUGAGACUGAGGUUGACAUCAGCUUCUAUCCUUGCCCUUCCUGUGAUGGGGGAAGGAUUUGUGAUCUAUAGUGAUGCAUCGCACAGUGGACUGGGUUGUGUGCUGAUGCAGCAUGGUAGGGUAAUUACUUAUGCUUCACGGCAGUUAAAGGAUUACGAGAAGAAUUACCCUACGCAUGACUUGGAGCUUGCCGCGGUAGUCUUUGCGUUAAAGUUGUGGCGGCAUUACUUGUAUGGCGAGCACUGCGAGAUUUUCACCGAUCAUAAAAGUCUCAAGUAUCUGUUCACUCAAAGGAAACUGAAUCUGAGGCAGCGCCGGUGGUUAGAGUUAUUGAAGGACUAUGACAUUAGUAUUCAGUAUCAUCCCGGCAGGGCGAAUGUAGUGGCAGAUGCGUUGAGCAGGAAGUCAGUGCAGAGCCUGAGUUUGAUGAUCACCGAGUAGAGGCCAUUACUCGAGGAGUUUCAGCGGCUGAGGCUUGAGAUAGUGUCCCCUGGAUCUACUGCGAGACUGAUGUCUCUGGUUUUGCAGCCCACUCUGUUGGAUAGGAUCCGGAAAAAACAGAGUGGAGAUCCGUGCCUGUUGAGGAUUCGAGAGCAGUUAGAAGGGGGCAGGCUAAGGGUUUUGCUGUGGACAGUUCGGGAGUACUACAGUACAGGGACCAGCUGUGUGUGCCUGUGGAUUCAGAGAUCCGAGAGGCUAUUUUGAGAGAGGCUCAUUGUUCACCUUAUACGGUUCACCCUAGGGGAACUAAGAUGUAUAAGGAUUUAAAGGCACAGUUUUGGUGGAAUGGAAUGAAGAGAGACAUUGGCAGAUUUGUGGCUCAGUGUUUGACUUGCCAACAGGUAAAGGCCGAGCAUCAGGUGCCUGCUGGCAAGCUUCAGAGUCUGCCAGUGCCCGAGUGGAAAUGGGAACAGAUCACUAUGGACUUCGUCGUGGGAUUGCCUAGAGCGCAGGGUGGCUACGAUGCGAUUUGGGUGAUAGUGGACAGACUAACCAAGUCUGCUCACUUCUUACCGGUUCAGAUCACCUGGUCCAGAGAGAGACUCGCGCAGCUAUAUCUGGAUGAGAUUGGUAGGCUGCAUGGCGUGGCGAUUUCGAUCGUAUCUGAUAGGGAUCCGAGGUUUGUAUCACAUUUUUGGAGGAGUUUGCAGACAGCCUUGGCUACACAGCUGCAGUUCAGCACGACGUUUUACCCACAGACAGAUGGUCAGUCAGAGCGGACCAUUCAGACUCUAGAGAACAUGCUGAGAGCGUGUGUCUUGGACUUUGGAGGGGGGUGGUAUCGACAUUUGAGACUAGCUGAGUUUGCGUACAACAACAGCUAUUAAGCGAGUAUUCAGAUGGCUCCGUUUGAGGCGUUGUAUGGACGCAGAUGUCGAUCCCCUUUGUGUUGGAGUGAUGUACGUGAAAGAAAGACGCUUGGGCCUGAGAUUUUGCUGGAGGCUGAGGAAAAGGUGAGAGUUGUUCGACGACACCUUUUGACAACCCAGAGCCGCCAGAGGAGCUAUGCCGAUAUCAGGAAAAGAGACUUAGAGUUUCAGGUUGGAGAUCAUGUAUUUCUUAAAGUCUCGCCGUUCAGAGGGAUUCGCCGAUUGGGAGUACGUGGAAAGCUCAGUCCACGCUUUGUUGGCCCUUUUGAGGUAUUGGAGCGAGUGGGACCAGUUGCAUACAGGAUCGCUCUACCCCCGCGACUAGCUGGUAUUCACGAUGUCUUCCACGUCUCGGUUUUGAGGAGGUAUGUUUUCGAUCAUUCUCACGUGAUUGACUUCACUCCACUCGAGAUUAGCGAGGAUCUGAGAUACGAGGAGCGACAGUUGCGGAUUCUUGGCCGAGAGACGAAAGAAUUGCGCAACCGGGUCAUCCCGUAUGUGAAAGUGCAGUGGAGCCAUCACGAGGAGCGGGAGGCGACUUGGAAACCUGAGACGGUGAUGAGGGAGUCCUAUCCCUACCUAUUCGAUGCCCUGAGCUGAGGUAUGUUCAAGUUUCGAGAACGAAACUUUUUGUAAUGGGGCAGGAUGUGAGACCCCUGGUGUUCAGCAGUGAAGGCAUGUCGACAGCUCUGGAGAGUGUCGAGACAAGUUUGAGUCGCGUUCGCGCGAAAUAGAUGCAAAACGGACUCUGUGCGACGCGAGAGCAGCAUUUAGCAAGAAAAUCUGCAAAAAAGUUGAUUUUCUGCUUGCUGUACCGGUAUUGUGACACCCCAAUAGUCCCACAUCGGAUGGGAAUGAUGUUGUCAUUGGGUUUAUAAGAGACUUAGACACUAGUAAUAAUAACUGGGCUUAAGCAUUUUGGGCCGGUGGUUGGGCCCAACGAGUUAUUAUUACUAGUGGGCUGGGUCGUUACAUUUGGUAUCAGAGCCGGUUCACCAGCUGGACAUGUGUGGCGAGUCUCGGCUGAGCCAGGGUCUGGAUGACGGGCUAGCGAGACGAGUCUCACAUAGCCUGGUGAUCUUGGGCUGUGUGUGAUUGGACUGACGAGGACGUCAGGACCUUAACGGGGGGAGUCUGUGACACCCCAAUAGUCCCACAUCGGAUGGGAAUGAUGUUGUCAUUGGGUUUAUAAGAGACUUAGACACUAGUAAUAAUAACUGGGCUUAAGCAUUUUGGGCCGGUGGUUGGGCCCAACGAGUUAUUAUUACUAGUGGGCUGGGUCGUUACAGGUAUAGCCAUCAUGGUGCACCGGUGCACCGGUACACCGCACAGGUUGCGCGCAAACUGCUCUCAGGUUGGCUUCUUAUAUCGGUACGCGAGCCCAUGUACCGGUACGCCAGGGUAGGUAGGAGGACUUUUUGGUCUUUUUCCACCUCGUUCGUGUCACCCUUUUCCUCUAUCACUAUUUAGAUUUACGUAGAGCUGAGAGAGAGAGUUUGUACUGUCCUUCUACUCCUCUCUCUCUAGCUUCGAUCGUGGGUCAAGGAGGGAGCUCGGGUGGAGGUUUCGCCGUCGACGUCGCGCCGCGAAGCCAUUUGAGCGUACGUUCGCCGCCGUUGUGUCGCAAGGAGGCCGGGCGAGCGUGGAUCUUCGCCGUUAUUGACGUCGCACUGGUGCUAGUUGUGGUCAAGGUGGGUAUUCCGUUGAAUUGCUUCUUCUUUUCCAAGCAUCAUCAAAUUCGAGCUAAGUGUUGAUUUGCAGAUUUUCCAGCGUCGACCGUUAGCGUUUCGGCCCGUUCUCGACGUAGGAGAGUCGAAUUUCGACGAGAUUUGGUUCGUUGGAUUCAGGACUUAGAGAGGAAUCCACGAAGCCCUUAUUUGCUGGAUUUGGUGAAGGUUAGCUUGGUCGAAAUUAUAAUCUCCUCUGCUGCUGCGUUUCGGACAGAAUUAAUGGAUUUCAGUGCUUUACCUUGAUGUAGCUUUGUUGCUGGAUUUGUGGGCGUUUCGGUUGAUCCAGCAGGUUAUCCCGCAGCUGAGGGACUUCAUCGCUGUUAGGGAUUAGCUCUCAAGGUGGGUUAAUCAUCGGUUUACUCCUAAGUGCCUAUAUAGUCGACAUGUAUUCGUGGCGUUAUUUUGUGUGUAGUAAUUGCUCGGUUCAUUGAUUUACUAUGUUUAAUAAUCUGAAUUGGAGCCUUGGUUAUUGUCUUUGGAUAUAUAUACAUGUUGGACUUGGAUGAGACUUAGGAGAAAACUAGCGAUUAUGAUCGUCAUAUGCUUAAACUACCUGAUUUAGCCCUAGGGGCCGUUGUAUAAAUUUUUACUGUUGCAGUAUCCUCUUAGUGGGUAUUCCAGGUAGUUUAGUUUUUAGUUACGUUCGUGCUGAGAUGCCGAGUGUAUUUUUACAGUAGCGUUCAGACUGUUCCGAACUGUUGGGUGCCGUCGGGGUUGACGGUGAACCCAUAUCGCCUGUUUGGCGUCGAAUUGUGCCGAGAGCACGUUACUUGUUGGUUGUUAGACCAGUUUGAGUCGGUUACUGGACUUUGGCUUUCGAGAGCCUGAUUGAGCUCGACAGAGAUACGCUGCAUACUCGGUUGGGUAGCUCCCACGAGUGCCACUCCAGAGACGGGCGCUGUGCUUUCGCGUUGGUGUCGCUCAUGCCGGUUGGACUUGCUCUCCACGGACUAGUAGUGUGGAGGUAGCUGGAUAGUCACAACUGGACAGGGACGGGUGUGUUCACAGUCCCAGGGACGGGUAUGCUUACAGUCCCGAUUGGAUUGGGUUAGAUUUGACAUUUCCUACAGUUGGUUAGUGUCGAGCAUGGUAGUGUAGUAAUCCAUAGCGGUAGAUUUCAUUCUUGUAUUUACUACUAUCUUUGCUCCAUUCUGUAGACUUAGUGGGUGGACCGAUGUUGUUGAGGGCGGCACCCACUGAGGACUACCUGUUUUUACAGUAGUUCUCACGCCCUGUUUUACCCUCCUGUUUUUGUAGAGCCAUCGUCUUCGACUGCUGCUGUUGCCGACCAGGAUCGAGGCAAGGGCGUCGCGAGUUAGAGCCCUACCAGACGUGCCGAAUUAGAGGUACCCCUACUGCAGGUAGAUGUUUAUUUUGAGUUCAUGUACAUAGUAUACUUAACUCGUCAGUGCGAGUAGCUCUGAGUUCUGUUUACUCUAGCAGUUCUAUACUACUGCUUGUAGUAUUGUAUGAUUUACAGGUACAGCUAUCGCUUCGUAUACAGGGAAAAUUUCUUUGUAUACGGCGGAUUUGUCGGCGUGCCCGGGAACAUGUAAUCCGGGGCGUGACAAAAUUAAUUAAUUAUAAUUAAUUAAUAGUAAAUUAAAUAAUUAAUUAAUAAUAAAUUAAUUAAUUAAGAAUAAAUUAAUGAUAAAUUAGUUACUUAUAAAUAAAUAAAUAAAUAAAUUAUAAGUUAAUAAAUAAAUAAAUUAAGUAGUUAUUAAUAAUUAUAAAUAAUAAUUUAAUUAAUAAUUAUAAAUAAUAAAUUGAAUAAAUUAUUUUAUUAUUUAAGCAAUAAAUAAUUAUUUAAAUAUAUUAAUUAAUUAAUUAUUUAUUUAUUACCAUAAUUAAAAUUAUUUUUAGACUUUAAUUAACUUUAUUCUCACCUAGGAACAAGCUUGUUCCAGGAAAAAGAUGUAACAACAGUUCCAGUCUUAUACCUGCUUAUUUCAAAAAUCUAAAAACUACUGUUCUUGAGUACCAAACGUAGCAUUUGGAAACAAAGAGGGAAACAAGGACUUAUUCCUCCUCUUGUUCCUGAACCAAACGCUAUCCUAGGUGAACUAUAUCUAUUUGAGCUUGAUAUCAAGCCAAACACAAGUGAAUGACCACAACUCGUGUUCGACUUUAUUAAACGAACGAUUCAAUUAUGAUCCCAUUUCGAGUCAAAUACAAGACGGAUUGCCGGCCCUACUUGUCACCCAUUAUUUGGUUAGCAUGCAUUAGAGGCUAAUAAAUCCUAACAACAAGAAAAAAGUCAUUUCAUCAGUACGUCCAAUUUUAUAUAUCUUUACCUGUGCUUUGCGUGCUGUUGUUAUAAAAUGUUAUUAUUAAUAAUAUAGUUAUUUAUCUAACUAAAUUUUGAAUAAAAAUUAAAAUUUUAAUAUAUUUAAUAAUAGGGAAAACUUCAAAAAACUCCCUUGUAGUUUCAAUUUUUUUCACUUUAGUACCCUGUGGUUUAAAAUGUAUCAAGUUAGUUUCCUGUGGUUUCUCACUUUAUCACUAUAAUACCCUGUGGUUUAAACUGUAUCAAGUUAGUACCCUGUAGUUUUGCACUUUAUCACUUUAGUACCCUGUGGUUUUAAUUUUGUAUCAAGUUAGUACCCUGUAGUUUUUUAAACCAUAGGGUACUAAAGUGAUAAAGUGUGAAACCACAGGGUACUAAAGUGAUAAAGUGCAAAACCACAGGGUACUAACUUGAUACACUUUAAACCACAGGAUACUAAAGUGAUAAAGUGAGAAACCACAGGGUACUAACUUGAUACACAUUAAACCACAGGGUACUUGUCACGCCCCAAUCCCCGCCAAUUUGGUUGGGUUCAGGUCACGUCAACAAACGCUGAACGGACAGGCCUCUCCUGUCCGCCCAAGGCUCGAACAACAUGUAUAAAUAAGCAAUCAACAAGAGAUUUGCAUAUAUAAUACAAGGCUUGCACGUGGGCAAGCAACAACGGAAGUGAAAGCUCUAAGCUAAAUAUACAACAUACAUGAUAUUUGAUUAAAUUUAAACCAAAUACAAGUAAAUAAAACUAUUAUAUUCCAUUCAACCAUCAUAUCUUUUUACAUUUAGCCAUGCACCAAUUACAUGAUUGUUUACAACUUUAUAUCUCUAAAUCACCAAAAGAAGUUGAUACAUGUGAGUAUAGGAAUGACUACAAAAUGCAAAAUAUCCCCGGUGGCCGCUACUUACGGAGCUAAACCCUUGCCUCGGUCCUCCGCCGCCCCGCUCGUGCUAGGACCUGUAGGGUUAGUGGUGUGAGAACUACAACGAAGUUCCCAGUGGGUUCGGCAUCCGACCUCACCGACUUACCCACUAGGUCUAUCCAGGCAUAGGUAUUUCAAGGAAAGAAAAGUAAACAGUACUAAUGCAUCUAAUACCAUGCCUGCAGAAGAAUGUCAGUGGAUACAUAUGCUUGCUGCAAUAAUAGAAAAUGCAUGCAUUCUCAAAUCAUAAAUAAGCUUUGGCUCUUACCCAAUCUUACCGGUUAACCUUGUUAACCCCAAUAACUCACAACCCAAAAUCCCUUAAUAACGGGAGACUCGAACCUCCCUAGGGACCGUCAUCUGGGGGGACUUUACCACGCCCAGUGGUGACCAACUCCGGAGCGCACCGCCCGAGGGGAAGCGACCUCCCUCAAGCCAAGACGUAUCGUGAAUAUUGAUCCAAUCCUCACUUGAGGAUUCAUAGCCACUAGUCACAAUGCCGGUGUCAUGAUAGGUCUCUACCUAUUCAUUUUGGUCACUCUCUAGGCUAUACCUGUGAUGAUGCCAUAAUUGGUAAAACUAUGUUUAACGGUUCAUCUCUCAAUGCCAAUCUUGUUUCUAUGUCAAUGUCACCUUUGUUUUCUAUGGUCCAUGUCCAAACCUCACAUUCACACAACUUGAGGGUCCAAUCACACAUGUCCAUUUUUUGGUUCUAUCAUUCUCUAUGUUCAACUACGUUAGAAGCAUAUAAGUGAAGUCAAACCAUGUUUCACAUGUAUCUACCCUACUAUGCAUGAAUGGCUGUAUAUAGACAUAUGCUCAAUAAAAGGAAAAACAGAUAUAGAAGGGAAUACAACGAUUCCGGCGUGCACCCCCCACCUCUAGUAGUCGUGUGGGUGUAGAAUACGAAGACUCCCGAACGCUACGAACGUCGGCUCCGCGUCCUAUAACCAAGUUAGUGCCCUAUUAGGCCGUUUAUACAUGAACUAUACCUGAACAUUUUCGUAACGUUGAACGGAGUUGUCCAACAUGUUUAUUUGACCCCCAAUUAGGUUUUUACGGGGUUAGCCCUAACAAUGCCAUUUAGGGUUUCCACCUAGAUUGAUCUUGUUGCUAAGCAAAAGAUAGCAUAGAAUCACUUAGAAAGCAUUCUAAUAAGGUUUCCAAGCUUUUGGAACCAACCCUAGGGCUUCUAUGAUGAACCCUAACCAUCCACCAUGAGAGCACUUGAGCUCUUAUGGGUUCCAUGGAGUUCAAGGCCUUUAGAAGGUUCCCAAGGCUAAAAACAACCCAAAACUCCAAAUCUUAGGGAUCAAAACCAAACCCUAAACUCAUUUAUACCAAAAACUCACCUUAGCCCAAGCUCCUCCAAGUCCUUCUUGUAGGAGAGCUUGUAGAACUCACCAAAGCCUCCAAAUCCACCUUCUCCUUGCUUCUUCUUCUUCUUCUCCAAGCCCUAGAGCUAGGGUUCUAGAGAGAGAAACAGAGAAAAUGAGAAAGGGGGAGAGAAAUGACUGUGGGAGAGAGGGGAAUAGCCAUAUAACAUGUUGUGACAAUUGCACUUAAGCCCUUCCACUUGUUUCAUAGUGCACUGCCCAGACUGGGCGUUUUUCGCUGUCGGGGACCGGUCUCCCCGACCAGGGACCGGUUACCGAACGAUGGGUUUUCAGGACUUCACCAAAUUUUCGGGUUUUUGGCUGGCUGCGCAGCGAGGGACCGGUCUCUCCUUCAGGGACCGGUCUCCUGAGGAUCGGUCUCACAGCCAGGGACCGAAUGCCUCAGGAUUUCCUGGCAGGCUACGCGUACGGGGACCGGUCUCUCCUUCAGGGACCGGUCCCCGAGAACACAAAAUCUGGGACUUAGCCAGAUUUUGGGAUUUCACUCUCUCGGGUCCCUUUGCCCUAUAGAUAGGCUCCAAUGCACUUAGGGCCUAUACUCACUCGUUCCACUCCGCGUUCCGCUCAUUUCGACGGAACUCGGCACGAUUUACGAGGGAUGUGGUAUGUUACAGUACUAAAAUGAAAAAGUAUGAAACCACAAGGGGGGUUUUUGAAGUUUUCCCUUAAUAAUAUGACUAUUUAAAAUCUACUUACAAAUAUAAAAAGAAUUAAAUAAUUAUCAAAGAACGAAUAUAAUUUAUCUAUUUUUGUUAUAAAUAACAUGUCAGAUCGUUGGCGCUAAUCAUUAAUCUCAAAAGCUCAAGCUGUUAGAAAUACACAACUAAUUCAGUUAAAGCGUACAGACACGGCGUCCACGGGUCUUGAUUGUGAUUCGGCUCAACCAGCCUCACGCCACUUCGAACAUGAUUCGAUCUAAUCUAGCCUCACGUCAUUUUGAACGUGACACAGCCAACCUGGUCUUCUGUCACAUGGCAGGAUGUAAGAUGCUGGCCCAUUUAAGCAAACAUAACACAAUAUUUAAAUUUUAUAAUAAUAAUUUUAUUAUGUUGAGACAUGUGGCACAAUACGUUGCAUUGAAUAUUUCUUUUAUAUAAUAUACAUGAAAGAUUUCGUUAGUGUUUAAAAAAUAUAAACACAUACAAACGUAUAAAACUUAUAUUAAGGAUGGACAAAUUUAUGUUUGAUAUCCGGCUUCUAAAAUCUUAAUUUCACUAUCCAAUUUUUCAAUUUAUUUUAUUUGAAUCGAUCAACGGCAUUUUGACAUUAAAAUAUAAAUGCAUUGUUUAUUUUUAAUGGUUUAGCUAGUAUACUUUAUGUAAUUCUCGCAACUAUAAAUUAUUAAAGUAAAUAAUUAGCUUAAAAUUUCAAAUCAAAAUAUUGUCGACUAAGUCAAAUCAAAUAAAUUGAAAGGUUGGAUAGUAGUAAAAUUAAAAUUUUAAAUAAUUAGGUAGCUAAUUUUCAAUGGCCUGUAGUUCAUAUAAGUUUGGUAUGUUUUAACCAAAAAGAAAUAAAAAAGGCAACUAAGCUGAACAAGGGCUAAGCUUAUUAACUUUGAUAUACUUGCUUGUAACUAAACAUAAGUCACUUCUUUUUAGUUCCCUGAAAAACUAAUUAUCACAUGUGAAUUUUGAACAAUCUUACUUCUCCGCGUACAAAAUCCUCUUGAAAGGCCAACUUAAACUUUUCUGACUAAGUUUUCUCUACAAGAGAUAUGAUAGCAUUGCUCUAUUUCGUGUAAGAUUCGUGUCUGAUCAAUUCCAUUAAGCCGUACGAGAUGAUAAAUACCUGAUUAAGAGCAAUAUAUAAGAAAAAAAAAACAGUUUGAUUGAAGGAUAUUAUUAUUUCAGUGAAAUAGCUGCUACAAAGCAAGCUUCCACCUUUUCAACCCAGGUAACUUAUUCCAAAGUCUUAUCUAUUCCACUCAAUUUGACCUGAUUUAACUAUAAUUGAUCUGUCCGAACCCAAAAUUAUAAGUCUAAUUACAUUGUUCACUCUAAUAAAUUGGACUACAAUCUAAUCUGAAGUAGGAAAAUAAGCGAACCUGUAGAACGCAGCGGAAGUAUUCGUUCGUACCUUUUUGCGGGCGCGAUUCGUACUAGAACGCGACGAGCCCGGAUCGUAGAGAUUGAUUCAUGUGUCUUCGGAUUGUCCUUGAAGGUCCUCUAACACUCCAAACUCGCGGUGGAUCGAACUACAACCGAGCACGAUUUCCAAUCCACCGUUCAAGGCUUUCUAGAAUAAUAGAUUAAUGGAGGAUAUGGUUUCUACGUCUCUCUUCUUUUUUUUUUUUUUUCUUAUUCUCUUUCUUAUUAUUUUUAUGUGAGAUCGCCCGCAUAUUUGUAAGGGAUUCCAAAAUCCUAAUAGGUGCGUUGUGUAAGAGAUAAGGCCAAAUCGGUUAUUAAUUGUUAUUCUAAUAUAACUAGAAUUUAUCUCUAAUUAGCUUUCCAAUUUAAAAGCGAGAUUAAUCCUGAUCCAAUUAGAUAAUAUAAUAACCGUCGAAUCGAGCCCGAUCAUGAGCGCACUCGAUUUGAUUUAACCGAAUGUCAGCAUCUUCUACUCGCACAUGACGGGAUCGAUGCCAUCAUAACCACUUCCUCAACAUUACAUUACUAUUAAUUCUAUUCAUACAGGAAAAUGAACAGUGCGACUGCUGGUCAACCUGCAUUUUGGGAGCUCUAUACUAGAAACCGCAUGCGGCCAGCAUAGAGACAUCAACUCUCAAAAUAGAAUAUUAGACUCGUGAUGCUCUAGACUAUUGAAUUACAUCAGGUUCAGUAUCUCUAAUCCCUCAAAGAGCCAUACUAACCUCUAUUGUCCACAUUAUGACACUAUACUCAUGACUGUUUCGCUAUGUUGAAGCGACACAACCUGUUGACAAUGAGUCAAAGUGUCUGAAUGUAAUUGAACUAGUCUUCCUUGAGUCCUCAUGCCAUUGAGUUGAGAACUGAUUGCUUUCCUAGUAAUGCCCCAUAAAACCGCAUCACUCAUAGCCGUAGGUAACAUGCCAAAGUAGCAACAUCAAUUUUUUCACUUAAUGAUAUAGUCAAAAGUCACUAAGGACAUCUAACAUAUAUAGGACAUCGCCUCAAAAUAAUGUCCAUACAUCUAACAUAUAUAGGACAUCGCCUCAAAAUAAUGUCCAUAAGAACUCACACGAUGAGGAAGCAGGGAUCCAUUCACUCAUCUUCUUUAUUUUGUCGUCUAGCACGUGUAGUAUGAAAUACAUGCUAUGACAGAGAGUCUCAAUGAGCGUAUGUCUUUCUCAAUGUCAUACGAAUCUUAGCUCAGUCACUCCCGGAGUGUCUAGCCUGAGUUCUCCAUUUGCUCGUUAUCUCAAGUCGCCAAACGGUGAGCUCACAUCCGGCUUUUAAUGUACAGGCCAUAUGAAUCGUGGGACUAUUCGUAUGCGGUCUUAUUAAUGAUCUCAUCUUGGUGCCAACCGAGACGGCUUCCAUUAAUGCCUCAAUUUUCGCUCGCUCUCUACAGCGUCGAAAAGAAUGAUUGCCCGUGUGAGAGGGCCAAUCGGCCUGCGACAUACUAUCAAUCCGUUCAACAACAAUAUAGGAAAUAUAUGCACGUGUGUUAAUCUUACCAAAUAUCUUUGUCAAAAUAAUAAUUUGUAAUUAAAUAACCAAAAAUAUCACAAAAAGAAAUGGCUUAAAAUAAUCAACUGUUUACACAAUCAAAUCCUACGGAGUCCAAGAGCUUUAACAUGAGCCAAAAAGGAUUCUCUAAUAAUUGGCUUAGUCAGAGGAUCUGCAACCAUGCGACUCGUAGAAAUGUGUUUCAGGAUUAUUUCCUUCUGCGCAACUACCUCACGAACAAAGUGAUACUUUAAGUCGAUGUGCUUAGUCUUGCCAUGAUAUUUUGGAUCCUUCGUGUAUGCAAUCGCCUCCAUACUAUCACAAUAGAUCGUCACAGGAAUGUAAGUACAAGUGACAACCCCAAUAUCUCGAAGGAACCUCCUCAACCAGAUAGCCUCCUGAGCCGCUACAGAACACGCCACGAACUCCGCCUCUAUCGUGGAUAGAGCUACGCAGAUCUGUUUCUUACUACUCCAAGAUAUGGCACCAUUGUCAAGCAAGAAUGCAUAUCCUGAGGUCACUUACGCUCAUCUAGGUCACCAGCCCAAUCCACAUCGCUAUAACCGAUGAGACGAAAUCCGUACCUUGAUAGCACAGCAUAUAAUCUAUCGUACCUCUGAGGUAAUGAAGUAUCCUUUUAACAGCAUUCCAGUGGUCCAAUCCCAGAUUGGACUGAAAACGACUAACCAGACUUACGACAUAGCAUAUAUCAGGCCGAGUACACAUCAUAGCAUACAUCAGGCACCCGAUCGCAUUAGCAUAUGGAAUCCGAUUUAUCUUUUUUUUUUUCUUCAGAAGUUUUAGAGCACUAAUUAAGGUUCAGACUCUCACUUUUAGCAAUAGGAGUAUCAAUGGGUUUGCAAUUGUAUAUCUGAAAUCGUUCUAAAACUUUUCUUAGAUAAGUCUCUUGAGACAAACCUAAAAGUUUUUUUGAACGAUCUCGUAGGAUCUUAACUCCGAGCACAUAAUUCGCUUCACCCAUAUUUUUCAUUUCAAAAUUAGAGGACAACCAUGUCUGAGUGAUGACAAUCAUCUUUUUAUUAGUCCUGGCCAAUAAAAUGUCAUCAACAUAUAAGGAAAGGAUUAGACAAUAUUCUUUGGACCGUUUAACAUACACACAGUGAUAUCCUUCAAUCAUCGUAAACCCAUCUUCAGUGAUGGCUCGAUGAAUCAAAUAUAUCACUAUCUGGAGGACUACUUUAAUCCAUAAAUAGAUCGUCGGAGAUUACAAACUUUAUGCUCCUCACCCUUUGAAGGUUUUCUCGUAAUCAACGCCUUCUCGUUGGGUAAAACCCUUUGCUACCAAGCGAGCCUUGUACCUAUCGAUUGAACCGUCUGUCUUGUGCUUAAUCUUGAAAACCCAUUUAUUCCCGAUUGUUUUGUGCCCUGGUGGCAAGUCAACCAAGUCUCAGAUAUGAUUUGACUUUAUCGAUUCUAUUUUCUCCAUCAUUGCAUCCAACAAUUCCUUAUGAGUAGGUAAUGAGAGAGCCUCUUGGAAAGAUCUAGGCUCAACAUCAUCAUGUGCAGCAAUCAUGAAAGCUUCCCCCUUAACCAUUCCUUAUCUAAAGGUAAGUUGUCACGCCUCGCGACCCGCCAAUUUGGUCGGAUUCGGGGCGUCGAUCAGACGCCGAACGGACAGCACCUCCCCUGUCCGCCCAAGGCUAGAACAACAAGAUCAUGUACAAGAAUUGCCCAGGAAAAUUCAUUCAACAUACAUGAUCAAUACGAAGCACCAUAAGUGCUAUACAAAUUAAGAGCAAGAAUCACAAGUAUCAUACAAGUGAAAUAAAGAGAGAUACAUCUAGCUAUUACAUCACAUUUAACCAUUACACAUUGAUUUACAUUUUCAUGUUCCAAAAUGAAUACAUAUUCUUCUCAUAAUACAAAAUGGCUCUCUAAAUACAUAAGUAACUCUCAAAUACAUCAUAUCUCUACGUACACGAGGGUACUCUAAUGCAUAAGAAAGCUACUAGCUAUUAGGGCGCUAUGCCCUUACCACGGUCCUCUGCCGGUACACUCUUGCUAGGCCCUGCAACAAAGUUGGGUGAGAACUAUAUAAAUAUAGUUCCCAGUGGGUUCAGCCGCCGACUCCGCCGAUCUUCCCACUAGGUCCAAGCAGGCACAAGCAGCUAGAUAGAUAGAUAGAUAGAUAUGAAAUUGAAGUGCAACAUAGUAAAGUAAUCUGCACAAGCCGGCAUAAGGUAGCGCAAGGCUCGCGAAGGCAAGUGUGCCGAGCGGGGAUUCGUGGGGCGCGGCGCCUACGAAGGCCAAGGAGGCGGGACUCAAUAGGAAUGCUAAAGGGAGGCACGCCGAGGGAGAAUUCGUAAGGUGGGUGGCCUACGAGACUCGAGGGGCGGAACCCAAUGAGGCAAGCGGUAUCGGUAUCCGUAUAGUGAACCUUGAGAGACUGGACCAAUGGUGUGAGCGGCCAGACGUGGCCGAGCCAAAGACGGGGCCAGUGGCUAGCGAUGCGGAGCGAGGCUGGUUCGUUUGUAUGGGGCCUUAUGAGGCGAACCUAUGGGAGUCAAGGGCGCGGAGCGCCGUGGCAAAGCGAGGGUCGCCGAGACGGUCGAGAAGCACGGUGUGGACAUGUUGGUUCCCUUGUCAGGAGCGAUGGGACACGAGGGCCGCACAGGUCGAAUGCAAAGCACGGAGGUGCGGAGCAUGGACGUGCGGGGUGUCAUGCUAAGGUGCUGAUGUUGGGGACAAGCGAGCUUGUGGCGCACACUUGGGUGGCUUUUCGGAGGUAAGCCGUUGGACCGAGCAAGCAGGCCGCGUAGGCGGUAUGGCCAUGGACGUUGUCUGGCGCGUGAGGCACGAUGGUGAGGAACUUAUGGUUAUGAGUGCUCUUCGUGGCAUGUGAUGUCGCGAAGCCCGGACCUCGACGCUUGAGGCGUGCGGAUGGAGUCGCGGGAGCGAAACGCGUGGGAGGCGAGACGCUUGGCUAUACUCAAGUUGGGGAGAACUUGUAAUGUCCUUGGGGCUAGUGACAGAGGCAACAAGGCAUUCGGUUAUGAAGCACUCUUGAGGAGAGAUCGGUUGGCAAGAUGGGAUGCACCUAGCUUGGUGGCCAACCUCGGUAUUAGGGUUGCUCGUUGGAAACUCGAGGAGUCCAACGAGGGGUUCGAUUACAGGCGAAGGGUCGGGCUGUAAGUCUCGCGGAGGAGCAAGCUUGGCAAAAUGCUUGGAUUGGUAUUCCGCUGUUAAGUCUGGGAGACUUGUCCAUGGAGAGGACUCGAGAAGGCUGGCUCGGGUGUGCGACACUUGAGCGCCGCGCGGGGAUUUUCAAAGCGAAAAAGCUGACCCCGCGACAAGUAUGCCUUCAUUAAUCAAGGAUAUGAGCUACAAUAUAGUAUAUGAUCUAUGCCUCAAUGAUCCGAUGUAUAAGCAACUACAUAGUAUGCAAUCUACACAUUCUACUAUACCUCAACAAUAAUGGAAAUGAACUACUACAUAGUAAUGUAAACUAUACAUGAUACUAUGCCUCAACAAUAAAAGAAAUGAGUUACUACAUAGUAUGCAAGCUACAUAUGAUACUAUGCCUCAACAAUAAAAGAAAUGAGCUACUACAUAGUAUGCAAACUACACAUGAUACUAUGCCUCAACAAUAAUGGAAAUGAGCUACUACAUAGUAAUGUAUCCUGCAACAUGCUACUAUGCCUCAAAUAUCCGAAUGUCAUAUCCAAAAAUGCAUGAGCUACUACAUAGUAUACAAUCUACAUAUGAUAUUAUGCCUCAAAUAAUCACAUGAAUGAACGAGCUAUUACAUAGUGCGUCAUGCAACUAUGCCUCGAUAAUAUCCAAUCUCAUGGCCAACCCGAAGGUUGCCGACUCACUCUCAAUCUCAUAGGUGAGGAGAAGCUGCAAUCGCACACCGAGACAGUCUGCGGGACAACUAUGUCUACCCCUAUGUGAAGUACUCCGGAGACCACUGCUUCGGUGGAGCAACCAUCGACAAGCGAAAACAGACUAGUGAGUAUGAUCAAAUCCUCACAAGAGGAUACCCUAUCUACUAGGGUCAUGGUGUCUCUACUGCACUAAUGCCAAUGCAUAAUGUCCACAACAUGACAAUUGGAAAAAUCUACUAUCCCUAGGUUCAAAUGCCAUAGUGUUCCACUACACUAGAUUUGAUGCCACUCAUUUAUGUCAUGAUGUUAUAUGUGUUUCGAUACACUAAAUUGACAUGCCACUCGUUCUUGUUAUAGUGUCUCUAUUACACUAAUCCAUAUGCCACUCAAUAUGUCAUGAGGUUGUAUGUGUCUCAAUACACUAAAUUGACAUGCCACUCGUUCACAUUACAGUAUCUGUACUAUACUAAUUUGAAUGCCACUUGUUUUCAUCAUCACAAGUCUAAGUUCAUCAUCAUUCGUGUCACUAUAGGAUUCUUGUCACAUGACCCAAUCCUCAUGCAACCUAAGAUCAAGUGUCAAGCCCACAAUGCUACACUACCAUAGGAAACAUGCAAGAAAAUGGAAUGUAAUCAUCUACUAAUCAUAUAAUGCACACUAUCAAUAUAUGAAUAUGAUCAAAAUAGAACUUAGACAUAAAAGGAAGUCCGGUUGCUUCGGGAUGGACACCCCCCACCUUUUAUGGCGUUCUGAUUGCUCGUAGUCACUUGCAAUCGGCCUCCCGCGGCACCCGCCGGCCGGUUCGGCCCAAUCUCACGCUCGACCACCGAACAACCACCAAUCCGCAAUCCAGAAAUUAAAGAUCUAUAACUUGAUGCCACGAUGCUAUGAUCUUUAUCUCAUAAUUUUUGGAUGCCUUCUCGGCUCUUCAGGCGGAAACGAAGCUCUAACAGUCCAUUUCCUCAAUAUCUUCGCGUAGGCUCGACGAAUGCUCAAACCGAGUGCACGAACGCGUUCGGGGAUCUAACAAUUAGGUUAGAGAAAGGUCAAUUGAGAUCAAAACCCCUCAUGAGCAAAAGCCCUCUUUUUGGAGCCCUAAAUCACCAUUGAUGCAAUUAGCUUCCUACAAGCUACUAUUCUUGCAAUAAAUGAGAUUAACUACUCUUAGAGCACCAUUAAAUUCCAUUUCUAAGGUAUUUAAACCUAAUCCAAGCCAUUCACCAUGAGAGGGGUUCAAAACCUUACCUCUACUAAGCUUUUCCCUAAGCAAAAGGAAGAAGAAGAUGAAGAAGGUGAUGGAGCUUCUCCUUCUAGCUCCAAAUCUCCACAAAUCCUCCCUCUUGAUCCAUUUCUAGAGAGAGAGGAAGAGCUUCUAGAGAGAGAGGAAGAGAGUGUUUUAGUGUUUGGGUUGAGAGAAAAUGAGAGGAGAGGUCUCAUAUCACCUCUAUACAACCUUCACUAAUGCAGAAUUGCAAGAAACCCCCUCAACUUUGUGUUUUAUGCACUGCCCGCGCGGGGCUAUUUUUUGUAUAGGGGACCGGUCCCUGGUAGUGAGAGACCGGUCCCCGAAGUUCCAGAAUUCCAGCAUUUUUAGAACUUAGCCAAAUUUCAGCCUUUUUCGUUUUCGGGGUCCGAUUUCGCUCGUUUUCGCUCGUUUGACCUCCGAUUCUUUUCAAAUCGAACCGAAACUCUCCAAACAUGAUUUUGAGCGUAUUUUCAUCAUCUUUUCAUCCGCGCUAAUGCUGGAUUUAGUCCAUGGUCCAACAUAGCCUUCGGGUCCAGUUUUCGCUCCUACGCGCUCCGAAAACGUCCGAAUGCUUCCGAACUUUACUGGAAUCAUUCUAAUGGCUUUCCAAACCAACAUACCCCGCAACUUCAUAAUUUUAGAAGUUCGGUACCUUACAUCCUCCCCUCCUUAAAAAGAGUUUCGUCCUCGAAACUCAAAUCAUUCCUUAACUCGACUUAUCGAGCAAUCGAGGGUAAUAACGCACUUUUCAACUCUGGAGUGGCCUUUCACUCACUGGAACUAUCCAAAGGCCCACAACGGAGGAUGUGAGAUCAAACUCACACACAUUUGCUAAGCGCAACACCAAAAGUGCAUUACGGCUUCGCAAGUCUCGGUGGCAGCGUAAGUUGACUGUAACAUACCAGAUUUUGGUAUAAAAAUAAAAAUAAAUAAAAAUAGUGUGAGAAGCUAUUUUUAUUGAAUUUAGAGAAGUAAAAUAUAAGUCAGAAGUGACUUGUGCUGAAAUCGGAAUGAAAACAGAAGAUUUAUAAUUUUAUGUUGGAAACGGGACAGGUAAAUUAGCAGAAAAUGCACAGUCUCAGAAAAUUAUGAAAAAUGAAGGAUAAGUCAGAAAUAUUUUUAUGAGGCUAGAUUUCAAGUUUCAUAUUUUUCUUACACCCGUAGAGUGAGAAAUAAAAUCCGACAGCUAUCUGAUAAAGAUUACAGUUCGGUACAGUUUUCAGUGACCAAAUGGGGUCGAAACUGAAAACUUAAAAUAUAUUCUUACUCAGUACGUAAAACCGAAUAUGACUGUCAAGUUUGAGCUCAAACGGACAUUCAGAGAGUUCCGGCGAAAGUUAUCAGAUUUCAAGCUGCUUGGAAGUGAAUAGUGUUGGGGUGUAAUUAAAAUAGAAGCUCUUGGCUUCUUCUUCCCCAACCAGCCGCACACACACACCCGCACGCCACACACACACGCAUGGAAAGAGGGAGAAAGAGAAACCUCCCAUUUUCUCUUUAAAUCUCUCCCAAAAUUGAUGAAUUUGGUGGAGAAGCAAGCUUGGAGGUUGAUCUUCAUCUCCUUUAUCUUCUUCUUCUCCAUUAAAGCAAGCUUUGAAGGUAAGCUUCAAAAUCCUUUAAUGGCAUUUCUCUCUAGUUUAGUUUUUAAGCUUUAAGAAUGGGUUUAGAGGUAUUCUAGCAUGCUAAUUAGAGGUUUGAUGCUUGAAACCAAGGCCCUAAUAGUGGGUUUUUACCUAAUAGUAAACCUAGGGCUCAAAAAUGCUAGUUUUGUAAAUAUGAGGGUUUGAUCUCAUUUGACCCUCCGUAAAUCUAAUUGCUAGGUAAACGAACGUGUUGGCGAAGACGGUUCGGCGAUUCGUUGAGCCGUUGCGAAGUUAUUAAAGAAACGGACGUUUAGGCUUCGUUUCUGCCUGGAGGGCCGAGGCGACAUCGUAAACCCAUGAAAUCGGAUUUGAAGCAUCGUGGCACACAACCGAAGACCUUUAAUUUUCGGAUCGUGAAUUGGAGGCCGUUCGGAUGGUCGCACGAGAGAUCGGGCCAAACCGGGUGCCGGGUGCCGCGGGAGGCCGAUUGCAAGUGUCGACAAGCAAUCGGAAUGCGAAAUGAGGUGGGUUGUGCUUACCGAAGCGACUAGGUCGCCUGUAUGUGUAAGAGAAAUGAGAUUUCAUAUUGAUGCAUAUUGACAUAAUGUAAGAAUGUGAAAAGAAUGCAUGUUAACAUACUAUAGAAAUACUAGAUAAAUGCAUAUGAUUAAUGCUUUGAAUGCAUAAUAUAAAGGGCGUAUGAAUGUUAGCAUUAUAAGAACAUCAUAAAAGGAAUCUAUGAUGACAUGUUGUAGAAUAUGCUGAAUGUAAUGCAUAAUGAAUUAAGUGCUAAAAGAAUGCAUGAGAUGCUAAGUAUGGACUAUUUUGGAUAAUGACUAUAUGUAUGUUGACAUAUCAUGUGAUGCUAGUGGUAUAUGUGCAUGAUGAUAUAUUAUGAAUUUACAUAUUGUGGAUUAUGUUAAAUAGAAAAACAUACUUGAUGACAUAUUGCCAUGUGGUGGAACAUAGUGGACAAUCUACAUAUAUAUUAGAUCGAGUGGCAUUAAACCUUGUAUCUUGAACCUAGCAAACACUUGUGGUGAUUGAGCAUGUAUAUUCUGGUGUCAUUCAUGUAUGUUAGGACCCUAUUAUUGUGUGAAUGUGAGAGUCGGACUUGGACAAUAGUAAACAAGGGUGACAAUGAAAAUAGAGACAUGAUUGGCAUCAAGAAAGUGGUUGUUAAAUAUAGUUUAACCAUAUUGACAUUGGUCCAAGUUGACAUAGAGAGUGGCAUGAUUAAAUAGGUAGAGACCUAUCAUGACAUUGGCAUUGUGACGAGUGGCUAUGAAUCCUCAAGUUGAGGAUUGGAUCGAUACUCACGUUACGUCUUGGCUUGAGGGAGGUAGCUCCCCCUCGGGCGGUGCGCUCCGGAGUUGGUCACCACUGGGCGUGGUAAAGUCCCCCCAGAUGACGGUCCCCAGGGAGGUUCGAGUCCCCCGUUAUUAAGGGAUUUUGGUAGUGAGUUAUUGGGGUUAACAUGGUUAACCGGUAAGAUUGGGUCAUAGCCAAAUGAGUGUACAACAAGUAUGCAUUAUGAGUUAUGGAUUUGGUAUCCUAGUCGAGAGGAUCUAGGGCUGAGGUGUAUGUGAGACGUCCAUCGCCUCGAGCCUGGUUCUAGUGCGGUACUCCGCAGACGAUUGACUCAAGACCGAGUCGGGUGGUUAGCCUUGUAAAGGUAGAUGAAACUUUAUGAUUAAAACGGUGAUUGACAAGAAUCUAAGAUAGAGGAAACCUUAGAUAUCAAAUGGAUGAGCUAUGGUUAGCAGAAUUGAAAGUAGUAUCGAAUGAACUACUAGUUGGUUGCAUAGUUGCAUUAUUGCAUGAUUUGCAUAUAGCAUUGCAUUAUUGCAUUCGUGAGGCAAUGCAUGGUUUUAUUCGUUGCAUAAUCAAGAUAUAUAUCUAUCUGUUUAUUGAACUAACUUGCAGUUGCCUCCCUUGGACCUAUUGGUCGAGCUUUUCCCUUGGGUGGCCGUACCCACUGGGAACCAUGGAGUUGGUUCUCACCCCACGUGGUUUUGGGGUGUUAUAGGUUCACACGUGAGCGGCGCCGCGCCGCGAGGCGAGGGCGUAGCUCCAUAGUUAGCGUCCUACCACCGAGACCAGAGAUAGUAGUACCCUGAGCCGGCUUUACUUAGGGAUGUAAGAAAAUGAAAGGAAUAAGAUUGUAAUAAUUUGUAAUAAAAGCAUGAUUGUAUUUGGAAGUUAAAUGUAUAAUGAAAUUGUGAUGUAAAUGUAUCUAAAUAAUGUGAAUGCUUGUAAUAGCAAGUAGGUUAUACUUCCUUAUGCAAUCUUUGAUUGAAAUGUGUUCCUGAUUGGAACUUCGUACAUUAUAUUGAUUGCGACGCUUUGAAUGUACAGGGGAGACUCUGUCCGCGGUACAGAAAAAAUCCUGUCCGUUCGGCGGUCUGUCGGCGUGCCCGAAACCAACCAAAUAGGCGGGCUCGGGGCGUGACAGAUAAGAUGGUAUCAGAGCAUAAAAAGAAACAUAAAAAGAAUAAUAGAAAAUGGUUUAGUUGGAACUAGGAGACCCUAGGAUAGCAAACCAUAGGAGAUUAAGGCUCGUGAGAGACAAGAACUUGUGACAAUUGGCGAAAGAUAAAUUGAUUGGGUUGUGUCGUAAACCUCUAAAAUGGAUGUUAGAGAUAGAUUCAAGGUGUGGUUUAUUCUCAACCGAUGGUGUUCGUGUUGGGCGCGCACAACACGAAACCGAGUGAUGAGAAUAGACGUCCUUGCGUGGCUUUCGCCCGAUUUGAGUCGGUAUUAGGUGUCUCGUGUUCGACCUAGAGGGUCGAGGAUUAAUAAAGUUGUCGUGUUUUAGGAAGCGAUAGCACCGCGUAGGCGAUCUUCAUUUAGAUCGGCGCGGGAUGGGCCGAGUGGUGUCCCUGGGCAAUUUGAGGCGAGCGGAGAUUGGGAACUUCGCGAGUGUUGGCGUCUCUCAUGAUCUUUGAGAAAUUAACGGAAUCCUCGCCGUGUUAGAUCACUUUUGGUCAGAUUGACCCAAGUGCGUCGAGAGAAGUAGUUGGACAAAGUCCAAUUGACAUUCCAACAAUGUUGGAAGGGUUAAAAUUGAGUUCUAAAAGAGUUAGAAAGGUUUUAGCGUUGCUCGGCGUGAAUUGGAGUCGAAGCGGUGCAAAAUCGAAAUUCUGGAACAUGUGUUACCGAUUUAACCCCAGGGGUGUACCAGUAUAGUAUGGUUGUAACGAAGUAAAUUCUCAAGAGUCGAGAGUUGGACUUCGACCAGGAUCAGCUAGUUGUCGAGUGGGUAUGUAAUAUACCGAAACUUCGAUAACCAAGCAUCGAACUUUAGUCAAAUUGGCCAAAGUGCGAGGUUGGUACACUUCGGAAAGGCCGAAGGCGUCAAAUAAUGCAAAAGUGCAUUACUGGGGAUCUUCGAGAGCUUUGUAAAUCAAAAUCUGCAAGACUGCAGGUUUUGUGCUCUCGGGGACCGGUCCCAGGUCGGGAAGACCGGUCCCCGAACGCGCAGGCAGCAAGAGGAGAGAAAAAUCGGCUAUGUUCCCGGUGGACAGCUCUCGGGAACCGGUCCCUGCGGGUAGAGACCGGUCCCCAAGAGACCGGUCCCAUCAGGGGAGACCGGUUGCCUCGUGCGUAGGUUGCGCAGACCGCGGGAGAAGCUCUCGGGGACCGGUCCCAGGCAGGGAGAGACCGGUCCCUCAGCACGAAAAUUGCCCAGUUUGGGCAGUGCACUGGAUAGAAAGUGGGAGGGCCUAUUUGCAAAUAUUGCAACAUGUUAUGUGCCUUAUCCCUCUCUCUCCCACAGCGGUGUGAGCUACGAGAGGGCGUUGAGGACAAUGCAACCUAAAGGUUCGCGGCGAGCGCCGGGUGGUCGUAGAUACACGACCCUGGUUGAGGAACCUGCUGCUGACGACGUCGUUGCAGGUAUGAGUUAUUGAUGCAAGCAUAUGUUUUGCAAGAUCUGAAGUUGAUGCAUUGCAUGCAAUGGUUAUGUGGUUAAUCACUAUUGUCAUGCAUGAGCAUAGUAGAGACCGAGUGGAUGGGUAAAUAUAGAUAUUCGGGCAUGCUCGUGUUGUAAGGGCGCAGUAUCUGCCAGUACAGGUAUAGAGCCAGAUGGCAUUAGCGAAGUGCUAGAAGUAAUUUAUGGCGAGAAGUGAGACUCGCGGUAGAGAUAGAAGUGGCGAAAUGACUCUCAGAGCAAUAUGAGUUGUAAAUUGCGAGAGUUGAGCCAUGAUGCUUAUGAGAACACCCGAGUGGCUCGAAAAUUUCGGAUGUCAUUCCGGUAGAUCGAACAGUGAAAGUAACAUCACUGUUGAGAGAAAAGCCGAUUAGUGGCCAAGUUUGAGCACGUGGGCCUAGUAGUACCUCAAGGUGAGGUAGGCAGUUGUGCUCGUGCAGCCGGUGUGCAUAGGCAAGAUUGCCUAAUGCUGGACUUCGUGUGGAACGCUGUAGAGGCGUAGAGCGCUCGAGUGUAGAAACCCGUAGAGUGCGGAUGUGGAUUCAGCCGAGAAAGUGUAUUGGCAGUAGCACUUGAGCAUUGCUAGGUGUGAAGCGUGUCAUGGAUCACUCGUGGGACUGGUGACUCGCAUUAGGUGCAUAGUAGCCGGUAGUGAUACGUGUACUCGGUAGAGCAUGUCGUGUAGGACGACGACGGCGGGUAGUGCUUAGGGACGACCCGUGCAUGGAACAUUUGUGGACUGUAGAGCCUGGGCCCUUUGGGCAGGCGCAGUCAGCUGUGAGUGACAGCGGCCCGGUACCUACGGGUAGGGCAGAGUUCUGAUCAGGACGGUAGUCCGAGUUUAGGCCCGGGAGCGUGGAAUGCCACGCGAUAGAUUGUGUGACCGAUGGUACACCGAGUAUGGUUGUGACCCAACCCGAGCACUUGACGUGGUUUGGGAUCUUAGUUGCUCCUGAUUGGAGUGUGUGCGAAUUUCCAAGUGAGAAUUUCGCCCGAUCAUGAUUGGGUCUGCAUUUGCGAGCGAGAGACGCUGCAUAUUGAGACGGGUUUAGGUGGUAGGCCUACAUAGGAUUGGUGGCCUUUGGUCCACCCGUGGAGACCGACGAGAGCGAUUUGGCAUAUAUCCUUAUCGAGGAGUUUGACUCGAAUUCACGAACGGAGUGCUUGCGUGAGCUCGUUGCGAAAAUAGUUUGAUGUUCAUCGUGGCAUGUGGUAUCAGAUGAUGAAGUACUCAUUGUGAGACAUCAAAUGAGUAGAAAGCCACGUGAUGUUGGAGAUUAUGGUCGUAAGGGAACUAAGACUUGAGAGGUGCCGAAUUGGGCCAUCUCACGUUAAAGUUAAGGGUCAGUGCGAAAUUAGAGCACUCAUAAUGGAGCGAUGCAUCGGUGAUAUUGCUUUUAAGCAAUGUCGGUGAUCGAAUCAGAACGUAUUCCCUGAAGGGAAGGUAAGUGCAAAGAAGAGUUCCUUGUGUACCGAAUGGCGAGUGGUGUUGGAGCGCGUAGAGUCGUCGAGUAUCGACUUGCGCUGCCACUAUGACUUGCAAGACCCGUGUUGUACUUUUGUAUCACACUUUGUAAAUGUGUUCAGGAUUAAAUCCACGUCCUUCAGUAUGAGCCGGUUCUGGAACAACGACUGUGUGAAGCCGCUUUGGAGUGGGAGAAUGAGUUGGUACUCACGGAGCUGAAUUGAGGCGUGGUUUGAAUUUCGCGGACGAAAUUCUUUUAAGGGGUGGAGAAUGUAACAUGCCAGAUUUUGGUAUAAAAAUAAAAAUAAAUAAAAAUAGUGUGAUAAACUAUUUUUAUUGAAUUUAGAGAAGUAAAACAUAAGUCAGAAGUGACUUGUGCUGAAAUCGGAAUGAAAACAGAAGAUUUAGAAUUUUAUGUUGGAAACGGGACAGGUAAAUUAGCAGAAAAUGCACAGUCUCAGAAAAUUAUGAAAAUUGGAGGAUAAGUCAAAAAUAUUUUUAUGAGGCUAGAUUUCAAGUUUCAUAUUUUUCUGACACCCGUAGAGUGAGAAAUAAAAUCCGACAGCUAUCUGAUAAAGAUUACAGUUCGGUACAGUUUUCAGUGGCCAAAUGGGGUCGAAACUGAAAACUUAAAAUAUAUUCUUACUCAGUACGUAAAACCAAAUAUGACUGUCAAGUUUGAGCUCAAACGGACAUUCAGGGAGUUCCGGCGAAAGUUAUCAGAUUUCAAGCUGCUUGGAAGUGAAUAGUGUUGGGGUGUAAUUAAAAUAGAAGCUCUUGGCUUCUUCUUCCCCAACCAGCCGCACACACACACCCGCACGCCACACACACACGCAUGGAAAGAGGGAGAAAGAGAAACCUCCCAUUUUCUCUUUAAAUCUCUCCCAAAAUUGAUGAAUUUGGUGGAGAAGCAAGCUUGGAGGUUGAUCUUCAUCUCCUUUAUCUUCUUCCUCUCCAUUAGAGCAAGUUUUGAAGGUAAGUUUCAAAACCCUUUAAUGGUAUUUCUCUCUAAUUUGGUUUUUAAGCUCUAAGAAUGGGUUUAGAGGUAUUCUAGCAUGCUAAUUAGAGAUUUGAUGCUUGAAACCAAGGCCCUAAUGGUGGGUUUUUACCUAAUAGUAAACCUAGGGCUCAAAAAUGCUAGUUUUGUAAAUAUGAGGGUUUGAUCUCAUUUGACCCUCCGUAAACCUAAUUGCUAGGUAAACGAACGCGUUGGCGAAGACGGUUCGGCGAUUCGUCGAGCCGUUGCGAAGUUAUUAAAGAAACGGACGUUUAGGCUUCGUUUCCGCCUGGAGGGCCGAGGCGACAUUGUAAACCCAUGAAAUCGGAUUUGAAGUAUCGUGGCACACAACCGAAGACCUUUAAUUUUCGGAUCGUGAAUUAGAGGCCGUUCGGAUGGUCGCGCGAGAGAUCGGGCCAAACCGGGUGCCGGGUGCCACGGGAGGCCGAUUGCAAGUGUCGACAAGCAAUCGGAAUGCGAAAUAAGGUGGGUUGUGCUUACCGAAGCGACUAGGUCGCCUGUAUGUCUAAGAGAAAUGAGAUUUCAUAUUGAUGCAUAUUGACAUAAUGUAAGAAUGUGAAAAGAAUGCAUGUUAACAUACUACAGAAAUGCUAGAUAAAUGCAUAUGAUUAAUGCUUUGAAUGCAUAAUAUAAAGGGCGUAUGAAUGUUAGCAUUAUAAGAACAUCAUAAAAGGAAUCUAUGAUGACAUGUUGUAGAAUAUGCUAAAUGUAAUGCAUAAUGAAUUAAGUGCUAAAAGAAUGCAUGAGAUGCUAAGUAUGGACUAUUUUGGAUAAUGACUAUAUGUAUGCUGACAUAUCAUGUGAUGCUAGUGGUAUAUGUGCAUGAUGAUAUAUUAUGAAUUUACAUAUUGUGGAUUAUGUUAAAUAGAAAAACAUACUUGAUGACAUAUUGCCAUGUGGUGGAACAUAGUGGACAAUCUACAUAUAUAUUAGAUCGAGUGGCAUUAAACCUUGUAUCUUGAACCUAGCAAACACUUGUGGUGAUUGAGCAUGUAUAUUCUGGUGUCAUUCAUGUAUGUUAGGACCCUAUUAUUGUGUGAAUGUGAGAGUCGGACUUGGACAAUAGUAAACAAGGGUGACAAUGAAAAUAGAGACAUGAUUGGCAUCAAGAAAGUGGUUGUUAAAUAUAGUUUAACCAUUUUGACAUUGGUCCAAGUUGACAUAGAGAGUGGCAAGAAUGAAUAGGUAGAGACCUAUCAUGACAUUGGCAUUGUGAAUAGUGGCUAUGAAUCCUCAAGUUGAGGAUUGGAUCGAUACUCAUGAUACGUCUUGGCUUGAGGGAGGUAGCUCCCCCUCGGGCGGUGCGCUCCGGAGUUGGUCACCACUGGGCGUGGUAAAGUCCCCCCAGAUGACGGUCCCCAGGGAGGUUCGAGUCCCCCGCUAUUAAGGGAUUUUGGGUGGUGAGUUAUUGGGGUUAACAUGGUUAACCGGUAAGAUUGGGUCAUAGCCAAAUGAAAGUACAAUAAGUAUGCAUUAUGAGUUAUGGACUUGGUAUCCCAGUCGAGAGGAUUUAGGGCUGAGGUGUAUGUGAGACGUCCAUCACCUCGAGCCUAGUUCUAGUACUGUACUCCGCAGACGAUUGACUCAAGACCGAGUCGGGUGGUUAGCCUUGUAAAGGUAGAUGAAUCUUUAUGAUUAAAAUGGGAUUGACAAGAAUCUAAGAUAGAGGAACCUUAGAUAUCAAACGGAUGAGCUAUGGUUAGCAGAAUUGAAAGUAGUAUCGAAUGAACUACUAGUUGGUUGCAUAGUUGCAUUAUUGCAUGAUUUGCAUAUAGCAUUGCAUUAUUGCAUUCGUGAGGCAAUGCAUGGUUUUAUUCGUUGCAUAAUCAAGAUAUAUAUAUAUCUAUCUGUUUAUUGAACUAACUUGCAGUUGCCUCCUUUGAACCUAUUGGUCGAGCUUUUCCCUUGGGUGGCCGUACCCACUGGGAACCAUGGAGUUGGUUCUCACCCCACGUGGUUUUGGGGUGUUAUAGGUUCACACGUGAGCGGCGCGGUGGUGCGAGGCGAGGGCGUAGCUCCAUAGUUAGCACCCUAUCACCGAGACCAGAGAUAGUAGUACCCUGAGCCGGCUUUACUUAGGAAUGUAAGAAAAUGAAAGGAAUAAGAUUGUAAUAAUUUGUAAUAAAAGCAUGAUUGUAUUUGGAAGUUAAAUGUAUAAUGAAAUUGUGAUGUAAAAUGUAUCUAAAUAAUGUGAAUGCUUGUAAUAGCAAGUAGGUUAUGUUUUUGAUACUUCCUUAUGCAAUCUUUAAUUGAAAUGUGUUCCUGGUUGGAACUUCGUACAUUGUAUUGAUUGCGAUGCCUUGAAUGUACAGGGGAGACUCUGUCCGCGGUACAGAAAAAACCCUGUCCGUUCGGUGGUCUGUCGGUGUGACAUCGACGCUCAACGACUCUCCCUGCUCCAACCCCACUUGCUACCGAAUCCAAGGAGUACACUUCGAUUCGAUCACCGGCAUUGCCUAGAAGCAAUAUCAUUGGUGCAUCGACCCAUCGCAAGUGCUACAAUCACAAUCGGAUCUUUGCUCUACAUGGAGAAGGCAUACUCCGGCACAUCUCCCGUCUCAAUCCUCAAAAGAGCAUCAUCCUCAAACUGCUUGGCUAUCCGGUAUUCAAGUGUCUCCAAGAGACCACUUUACUUUCUCUUUCAGUCGCCACAACCAACGUCAAAUUGCUCUACAACGAGCUCAAUGUCUCACUAGAGCAUUUUAUCCUUUGCCAUCAUAAGCCAUGACCAACUCAACUUCGCCUCUACAACGAGCUCACACGAACACUCUUCGUGAAUCUAUGCCAACUCACUAGCUAAGUUACCUGCCAAACCGCUCGUCUCGGCUUCCAUGGGUGGACCAAUGGUCACCAACUCGACGUAGGUCUACCGCCUAAAUCUGUCGCAACCCGCGCGUCUCUCGCUUGCAAGCGUAGACCCAAUCAGCACUGGGUGACAUUUUUAUUGGAGAAUUCGCACACACUCCAGCCAGGAGCAACUAAGACCCCAAACUGCAUCAAAUCCUCAAGUUGGGUCACUACACACUCGGUGUAUUCUCGAUCUAGCGAUCCAACACGUGGCAUUCCACUGUCUCGGGUCUCAGCUCGGACUACUGUCCUGACCAAAACACUGCCCUACCCGCAGGUAUCGGGCCGCCGCCACUCACAGCUGACUGCGCCUGCCCAAUGGGGCCAGGCUUCACAGUCCACAAAUAGUCCAGGCACAGGUCGUCCCCAAGCAAUACUCGUCGUCGUCGUCCUACACGACAUGCUCUACCGAGUCACACGUACCACUAUCGGCUCCUAAGCACCUAGUGCGAGCCGCCAGCCCUACGAGUGAUCCAUGGCCCACUUCACACUUAGCAAUGCUAUAGUGCUAUUGUCAACACACUCUCCCGGCUGAAUAAAAUUCGCACUCCCCGAGUAUCUACACUUGAGCGCUCUACCCCUCUACAGCGUUCCACACGAAGUCCAGCUUUAGGCAAUCUUGCCUAUGCACACCGGCCGUACGAGCAUAACCGCCUACCUCACCAUGAGGUACUAUUAGGCCCACGUGCUCAAACUUGGCCACUAAUCGACCGUUCUCUCAACAGUGAUUCUACUUUCAGCGUCCAAUCUACCGGAACAAUAUCCGAAAUUCUCGGAUUACUCGGGUGCCUACAAGUAUCAUGGCUCAACUCUCGCAAUCUACUAAUCACGUUGCCUUGAGAGUCGCUUCGCCACCUCAUCUCUACCACGAGUCUUAUUUCUCGUCCAAGAAUCAUUACUAGCAAUCCGCUAGUGCCAUUCGGCUCUCUACCUGCUCCAGCAGGCGCUACCUUCUCAUUGCAUGAGCAUGCCCGGGCAUCUACACUUACCCGUCACCGGGUCCCUACUAUACUGAUUCAUAAAUAGUAGCAACUGACCCCACGACAAACGCAUGCAAUGCAUCAACUUGACAUCGUGCAGAAGCACAAGUCUACUCUGAUGAACUCAUACUUGCCAUGACGUUGUCAGUAGCAGUAGGUUUCACAACCUCGGUCGCGUAUCCAUGGUCACUUGGCGGCCGCCGCGAACCCUCUGGUCGACAUACUCUCUUCGCUCGCUAUCCAGACCAUGCCGCAAGUGACACACACGCAGGUUGUCCAGGAGAGGAGAAGGCCGUCGCUAACGCCGAAGUCUGGCCAUUCACAACGAAUGCACAUCUCAUCAUGCAACGUACAUCGCCACGCCCAGUGAGAACUUCUACAAUCCCACGUCCCGAAGAAGUUUAACAGAAGACACUUCUGGGGUUCGGGAUUGCGUCUGCAACCCAAGAAGGUGCACUGCCCAAACUGGGCAACUUCGGGGGACGGGGACCGGUCUCUCAAGAGGGGACUAGUCCCCGAGAGCAAUCUCUCGGGUAAAAGGGCACUUGCCCGAUUCUCUCCGCGUACGGGGACCAGUCUCUCAUUGCAGGGACCGGUCCCCGAGAGCAAGAUAACACAAAAUAGGCCUCUGCUACUCUUUUCAAGUGUACGGGGACCGGUCUCUCCCCAGAGGGACCGGUCCUCGAGAGCAGAAAUGGCUGGGUAGCCCUUUUUGUUGCCUUCCACGCCUACGGGGUUCGGUCCCUCACCACAAGGACCGGUCCCCGAGAGCUAAAACUGCACUUUGCAGUUUUCCUCCCAGCUUGCUCUCGGAGGUCGCCAACAAUGCACCUUUUGCAUUUUGACCUCUUUGGCCUCACCGAAGCAUACUAACACGACUCUUGGUCGAUUCUACACGAAGUCCAAUCCUCGUAUUUCGAGAAUCACUUCUUACAUGCACAACCUUGAAAAUGUUCGGCCGAAGUCUCCACACAAACGAAUCGGCCACAUCCUCGUCAUCCCGCACUACAUUCGGGACGCAACUCAUGGUACGAGGGAAUUCCCGUUCGUAUUCCCUCACGGUGCGGUCUACCUACCGCAGCUUCGGGAACCUUUCUUGAAGCUUCCUCUUUUCACUGUCGGGAAAAUAAUCGGAGAAUAUUCAUCCCCGAAAUCCUUCCCGAGUCAUAGGAGGGAGGCUAGGCGAUCAAUUUCGCUUAACGCCAUUCCACCACACCUUCACCGACUGUUGUAAGCAAUGCACGGCUAGGUGUACCUUGUCCCACUCUGCGACGCACAGAUUCUCAAAGGAGUUCUAUGGAGUCGAUCCACAACUCCACUAUCCACGAAUCUGCAUCCUCUCCAUUCAAGAUAGGUAGAUCAAACUGUUUAAAGGUCAUGAGGGCCGCCAAAGCUCGCACCCUCACUGCCUCCAUCUCUGAACUGAUACGAAUCGAAUUGCCCGACCCCGACGGAAACACCUCCGCCGCGACUCCCGGCCAUACUUGACGAGCCUAAACUGGUGCGGUCACCAAUCGACCAACCGUUUCUUGGAGUCCCUUAAUCCGCUCCUCCUGGCGCAAGACAGCCUCCUGCUGUCGUUGCACCACUUCAGCUCGUUGCCUCGCCACUCCUACGAGUGGCCAACCGCUCGCGAAGUCCCAAGUCUCCGCUCGCCUCGGAUUGCUCAAGGACACCACUUGUUCCAUCCCGCGCCGAUCUACACGAAGAUCGCCUACGCGGUGCCAUCGUUUCUUGAAUCGCGACAACACGGUCAGUCUCGACCCUCCAGGGCGAACACGUAACAACUAACAUCGGCUCGACUCAAAUCGGGCGAAAGUCACGCAAGGACGUCUAUUCUCAUCCCUCGGUUUCAUGUUGUCGAUUGCCUAACAUGAACACACUUGGUCGAGAAUAAGUCACACGUUGAGUCUACCUCUAACAUCCAUUUUAGAGGUUUAAUAAACUUGACCCAAUCGAUCAACUUCCGCCACCGUAUAGGUUCACGUCACUCACGCACCUAUGGCCUUAAGGUUUACCAACCUAGGAUCUCCUAGGUCAAUCCUAGACUCUCUCUUUACUUGCUCUUAACUUGCUCUGAUACCACAACUAUCUGUCACGCCCCGCGACCCGCCAAUUUGGUCAGAUCAGGGGCGUCGAUCAGACGUCGAACAGACAACACCUCCCCUGUCCGCCCAAGGCUAGAACAACAAGAUCAUGUACAAGAAUUGCCCAGGAAAAUUCAUUCAACAUACAUGAUCAAUACGAAGCACCACAAGUGCUAUACAAUUAAGAGCAAGAAUCACAAGUAUCAUACAAGUGAAAUAAAGAGAGAUACAUCUAGCUAUUACAUCGCAUUUAACCAUUACACAUUGAUUUAUAUUUUCAUCUUCCAAAAUGAAUACAUAUUCUUCUCAUAAUACAAAAUGGCUCUCCAAAUACAUAAGUAACUCUCAAAUACAUCAUAUUUCUACGUACACGAGAGUACUCUAAUGCAUAAGGAAGCUACUAGCUACUAGAGCGCUAUGCCCUUACCACGGUCCCUUGCCGGUACGCUCUCGCUAGGCCCUCCAACAAAGUGGGGUGAGAACUAUAUAAAUAUAGUUCCCAGUGGGUUUGGCUGCCGACUUCGCUGAUCUUCCCACUAGGUCCAAGCAGGCACAAGCAGAUAGAUAGAUAGAUAGAUAUGAAAUUGAAGUGCAACAUAGUAAAGUAAUCUGCAACAAUCUACUAUACUUUCAAUAAUCAAGGAUAUGAGCUACAACAUAGUAUAUGAUCUAUGCCUCAAUGAUCCGAUGUAUGAGCAACUACAUAGUAUGCAAUCUACACAUUCUACUAUGCCUCAACAAUAAUGAAAAUGAGCUACUAUAUAGUAAUGUAAACUAUACAUGAUACUAUGCCUCAACAAUAAAAAAAAUGAGCUACUACAUAGUAUGCAAACUACACAUGAUACUAUGCCUCAACAAUAAAAGAAAUGAGCUACUACAUAGUAUGCAAACUACACAUGAUACUAUGCCCAACAAUAAUGGAAAUGAGCUACUACAUAGUAAUGUAUCCUGCAACAUGCUACUAUGCCUCAAAUAUCCGAAUGCCAUAUCCAAGUGAAAUGCAUGAGCUACUACAUACACUGCAACAAAAACGGUCUAUAGCGUCACUUUUAAAUGUCGGUAUAAGUCAAAAAAAGUGCUGCUGGCUAAAUUACCGACACUUUUAAAAAGUGUUGCUAUAUGUGGGGUCGCUAGGUAUAUAGUGACAGUUAAAGAGUGUCGUUAUAAUCUAAAAGAGUGCUGCUAAUUUACGAAUAUUUAUUUAAGUAUCUAGCAGCCACCGAAACUCUACCUCGUUGACUGCGGUGGUGGAGGAGACGAGAGGAAGGGAUCUUCGUCUAGAAUUUCAGUCAAUUGAGUGAGAGAAGAAGGAGAAAUGGUAAUCGAUUUUUCUUUCCUUUUUCUUUUAUUUUUUUUUUCUGUUUGUAAUCGAGCUGAAUGGGCUCGGUGGGGUGGGUUGGGUAGAGUAUCUUUCUAUUUUUGGUUGGAUUAGACUUUAAAUUUAGGCAUUAGUAGGUUUUUUUUAAUUUUUGACAUAAAUAUGACACUUACACAAAAGUGUCCCAAACAUGUAUCCCUAUAACCAAAUUCUGUUGUAGUGAUAGUAUACAAUCUACACAUGAUACUAUGCCUCAAAUAAUCACAUGAAUGAACGAGCUACUACAUAGUGCGUCAUGCAACUAUGCCUCGAUAAUAUCUAAUCUCAUGGCCAACCCGAAGGUUGCCGACUCACUCUCAAUCUCAUAGGUGAGGAGAAACUACACUCGCACACUGAGACCGUCUGCGGGACAACUACGUCUGCCCCUAUAUGAAGUACUCCGGAGACCACUGCUUCGGUGGAGCGACCACCGACAAGCAAAAACAGACUAGUGAGUAUGAUCCAAUCCUCACAAGAGGAUACCCUAUCUACUAGGGUCAUGGUGCCUCUACUGCACUAAUGCCAAUGCAUAAUGUCCACAACAUGACAAUUGAAAAAAUCUACUAUCCAUAGGUUCAAAUGCCAUAGUGUUCCACUAAACUAGAUUUGAUGCCACUCAUUUAUGUCAUGAUGUUAUAUGUCUCGAUACACUAAAUUGACAUGCCACUCGUUCUUGUUAUAGUGUCUCUAUUAUACUAAUCCAUAUACCACUCAAUAUGUCAUGAGGUUGUAUGUGUCUCAAUACACUAAAUUGACAUGCCACCCGUUCACAUUAUAGUAUCUUUACUAUACUAAUUUGAAUGCCACUUGUUUUCAUCAUCACAAGUCUAAGUUCAUCAUCAUUCGUGUCACUAUAGGAUUCUUGUCACAUGACCCAAUCCUCAUGCAACCUAAGUUCAAGUGUCAAGCCCACAAUGCUACACUACUAUAGGAAACAUGUAAGGAAACAGAAUGUAAUCAUCUACUAAUCCUAUAAUGCACACUAUCAAUAUAUGAAUAUGAUUAAAAUAGAACUUAGACAUAAAAGGAAGUCCGGUUGCUUCGGGAUGGACACCCCCCACCUUUUAUCGUGUUCCGAUUGCUCGUAGUCACUUGCAAUCGGCCUCCCGCGGCACCCCCCGCCCGGUUCGGCCCAAUCUCACGCUCGACCACCGAACGACCACCAAUCCGUAAUCCAAAAAUUAAAGAUCUAUAACUUGAUGCCACGAUGCUACGAUCUUUAUCUCAUAAUUUUUGGAUGCCUCCUCGGCCCUCUAGGCGGAAAUGAAGCUCUAACAGUCCAUUUUCUUAAUAUCUUCGCGUAGGCUCGACGAAUGCUCAAACCGAGUGCACGAACGCGUUCGGAGACCUAACAAUUAGGUUAGAGAAGGGUCAAUUGAGAUCAAAACCCCUGAUGAGCAAAAGCCCUCUUUUUGGAGCCCUAAAUUACCAUUGUUGCAAUUAGCUUCAUACAAGCUACUAUUCUUGCAAUAAAUGAGAUUAACUACUCUUAGAGCACCAUUAAAUUCCAUUUCUAAGGUAUUUAAACCUAAUCCAAGCCAUUCACCAUGAGAGGGGUUCAAAACCUUACCUCUACUAAGCUUUUCCCCAAGCAAAAGGAAGAAGAAGAUGAAGAAGGUGAUGGAGCUUCUCCUUCUAGCUCCAAAUCUCCACCAAUCCUCCCUCUUGAUCCAUUUCUAGAGAGAGAGGAAGAGCUUUUAGAGAGAGAGGAAGAGAGUGUUUUAGUGUUUGGGUUGAGAGAAAAUGAGAGGAGAGGUCUCAUAUCACCUCUAUACAACCUUCACUAAUGCAGAAUUGCAAGAAACCCCCUCAACUUUGUGUUUUAUGCACUGCCUGCGCGGGGCCUUUUUUGUAUAGGGGACCGGUCCCUGGCAAUGAGAGACCGGUCCCCGAAGGUCCAGAAUUCCAGCAUUUUUAGGACUUAGCCAAAUUUCAGCCUUUUUCGUUUUCGGGGUCCGUUUUCCUUCGUUUCGCUCGUUUAACAUCCGAUUCUUUUCAAAUCGAACCGAGACUCUCCAGACAUGAUUCCGAGCGUAUUUUCAUCAUCUUUUCAUCCGCGCUAAUGCUGGAUUUAGUCCAUGGUCCAACAUAGCCUUUGGGUCCCGUUUUCGCGCCUACGCGCUCCGAAAACGCCCGAAUGCUUUCGAACUUCACCGGAAUCAUUCUAAUAGCUUUCCAAACCAACAUACCCUGCAACUUCAUAAUUUUAGAAGUUCGGUACCUUGUAAAAGUCGCUCCCACUAUCCCCAGGAGGUAUCGGAGUCGCCUCCUCUACCUCAACUGAGCGAAUAGAAGCGCCAAUACCAGAGUCAUCCAUCUCAUGGAGCUCAAUUUCAUUUCGAACCUCACUUUUAUAAGGAAAAUCCUCCUCGAGGAAUUCAACAUUUCGUGACUCAAUCUCAGUCAAACUUCCAUCUGGCUGCUUUCCGAUGAACACGUAUCCCUUAGAGUGUUUAGGGUAUCUUAUAAAUAUACACUUCUUUCCUCUAGGACCCAACUUCCCAUACUUGUGAGAAGUGUUGUGCACGUAAGUUGCCGAACCCCAAGGACGCAUGUGCUCCAAAUUUAUUUUCCUGCCUGUCCAUAAUUCAUAAAGAGUGAAAAGUACUGUCUUGGAGGGUACACGAUUAAGAAUGUAGGCAGCAGUUAACAAUGCUCUCCCCAAAAGGAGAUAGGCAAAUUUGCUUGCGCCAUCAUUGACCUAACCAUGUCAAGUAAGGUGCGAUUUCUUCUCUCUGCUACACCAUUUUGCUGCGCAGUGCCAAGAAUUGUCAGCUGUCUGAUUAUUCCCUUUUCAUCAUAUAAUUUUUUUAAUUGUUCAGAUAGAUACUCGCGGCCUCGAUCAGUUCUUAAGGUUUUAAUUGUCAUAUCUAACUGAUUCUCAACCUCAUUAAUAUAACGUUUAAAACAAUCCAAUGCUUCAGACUUAUGGGAGAUCAGAUAAACAUGACCGAAGCUCGUAUGGUCAUCUAUAAAUGUAAUGAAGUAAAAAGCACCAUGUCUUGCCCUUACACUCAUUGGGCCACAAAUGUCGGAAUGGAUCAAUUGUAAAGAAAAUUUUGCCCUAGAAGCUUUAUUAAAUGAUUUUCAGGUCACUUUUCCCACUAAACAAUGUUCACAUGUGGGCAGGUAGACUUUAGUGAGCGAGCUCAAUAACCAAGGCGUGCAUGCCAUUUAAUUGAAAUAUUGUGAUCAUUCUCAACAGAAGAUAGCAAGAAAAAAGAACCACUACCAUUAUUAUUAUAAUCAAUGUCCAAAAUCAUAAAACCAUUUGAAAUAAAACCUCUUUCAUAAUAAAUAGUUCCAAGAUGAAUCUUAACUACAUCAUUCUCAAAGCGAAAAGAAAAGCCUAACUGUAGCAUAGAAAGAAUAGAAAACAAGUUCCGCCGAAUUCCUGCAGCAUAAAGUAUAUAAUGUAGGUACAAAAUUCGACCACCUUGCAUGAUCAACUUGUACGUGCCAAUGCCUAAUACAUCGACACUAGAAUCGUUCCCCAUGUAUGCUCUUCUACUCCCAACAGGCACACGACGGUACACGACGAAUCCCAUCCGAUCCCUUGCUACGUGGUUUGUUGCUCCUGAGUCUACAAUCCACACAGGGAGAGAUUCAGCAACAAACGUGUUAGAAGAAACAAAAGAGCGAGAAUCAGGAUAGAGAGGUACCUUCUUCGGCUCAGUGCAAUCACGAGCGAAGUGUCCCAGCUGGUUACAAUUAAAACAGGUCAUCUUCGACUUGUCUUUCUUGCCAUCUCAUUUGCUUCUCUUUCUUUUAGUGUUCUUCGCGUUCUUUGGCGUGGAUCCGCUACAAUUUCGAGGCCCGGUAGUCCUCUUUCGCUUGAACCCAGAUGUUUUGCGAAAGUUUGACUCAGCAGCAUUGGCAGUUGGGGUUUUAACAGCAUCAAGGCGCUCUUCCUCCAACUCCAGAUGCCGCGCAACAUCCUCAAAAGUUUUGAUAUUUUCAUUAUGUGUCAAAUUUACUCGCAUAUGUUCUCACGAAUUGGGAAGUGAGCGAAUCAUAGCUUGGAUCUGCUGCUCAUCAGUUAAGGUGCCGCCAGCCAACUUUAACUCGUGAAUCAUGUUUGACAUUAUUCUCACGUGUUGUUUCAUAGUCUAAUCGGCACGCUUCUUAUAACUGUCAAACCGCAUAGUGAGACUGCGCAACCUUCUGGUCGAAGUCGCACCAAAUUUAGCUUUGAGAGCCUCCCACAUGUCAUACGCAGUCGGAUACUGCUCAUACUCGCACAAGAGAUCAUUCUGCAUACCGCUCAACAACGUGAUGUGAGUAAUGCAAUCUUUUUUAAGCCAAUUAUUAUAGGCUUCCAUAUCUCGGCAAGCCUGGGCACUAGUGCCCUCUGUGGGUUGGUCUAUUUAUUACUCAAGUUUUCUAGAACUUCUUGCUCGGCGAGAACAUAUUGAAUUUUACGGUGCCAAAUAUCAUAACUGUCACCAUCCAAUUUCUUGCCUUUGAUUAAAUCCGCAACAACUUAUUUGGAGGCCAUUGAAUCUCACUAAGUUCACACAAUGUGAAGAAAAAGAUAUUUUAAAAUUAGCACACGAUACAUGUAAUAAACUGAAAAUUUGAGUUGCGAUGCUAACUUUCAUCUGGAAGAUCAAAGUGAAGUUUGAAUUGGAUGUGCAUCAUUUCAGAGUGUUUCUAGACGUGUGGGAAUGAACUUUGGGGUUAAUUGAGUGUUUCGGUGCAAAUUGUGCGCGAAAAUGAAUUUGAAUGAAAAUUUUCGGAGGAUGAGGUUUAUUUUGAUUCAAUUGCUCAAAGAGAAGCAAUAAUGUAAAUUGUGGUAUUCCCGAGUUAAUUGGAGGCUUGGGGAUAGUUAAUCAUGAGUUUGGAAGGGGUUUAGAGAUAUUCGGAAUUGUAAUAUAUCAAGUUUCCAAUUACAUUGCUAAUCUUGAUCAAAUUGAUUAAGAUAAUGCAAAAAAUAAAAUUGGUUUAUUCCCGAGCUUAAUUGGUAGCUUUGGCAUAGUGUUUAGUAUGUUUUGGAGGUGUUUGAUGGACUCGGAGUGAACUAGACGCGAAAAAGGGGCUGAAAACUGCUGCUGCCAGCUGCUGUUUAGUGCAGAGACUAUUUUGUAAACCUGUAGGGGCUGUUUUGUAAACUGCAUGUCACGCCCCGGGACCGAUACCAAUUUGGGCUGGUCCGAGCACGUAAAACAGACGCCGAACGGACAGAGUUUCCCCUGUCCGCCCAAGGCUCAUCACAUGUACAUUUUCAACAAAGAAGUGCACUAGCGGAAACAUACAAUUACGGCUUACACGAGGGAAAGCAAUAGUCACGAGUGAAAGAAAAGGAAACUAGCAUUCAUUUUGUACUAUGAUUCAAUUUAGAUCAUAAACAUUACCAUCAACUUGUACAAUUUACGAUACAUUACAUUUCACUACAUCAUUUCAUCAUUUCUUUCUUACAUCACAUUUACCCCAAAAUGAUGCUUUACAUUCUUUUCUUUACAUCAUUUAUCAUUAAGUACAAAAGAUGAUCAUAGGGUACUUUACUACAAAAUGUGAACCCAACUCUAGUGGCCUCUGCCUAAGGCGCGAUACCUUUACCUCGGUCGCUCGCCGGCUCGCUCGGUCCCGGCUUUGUGGAAUAGUGGGGUGAGAACUACAACAAAGUUCCCAAUGGGUUCGGCCUCAAUAUCACCGACUUUUCUACUAGGACUAACUCAGGCAUAAUAGAAAGGAAAAGCUGCAUAUCGUAAUGUAACACACUGGACCUUUGCAAAUUGCGAGGUUCGAGUGAUUGGAUGUGUUUCGAGCUUUUCUACACUUGGUGGAGGGUCGUAGAAUGUUUUCCGAUCCAAAAAGUACGAAAACUUGAGUUUUGGACGAAACCUGAGAGUUUUUACUCUCGGGGACCGGUCUCUGAUUGGAGAGACCGGUCCCCCAGUGAACAGUGUUGCGCAGCCGGCCAGGCAACCGGUCCCUAGCGGGCGAGACCAGUCCCCGAGCGCGUCUUCGCAGUGAGAGACCGGUCCCGCGUAGGAAGAGACCGGUUCCCGAACGAUGGUUUCUCGGGUGCGGCAUGAGAGACCGGUCCCUUGCAGGGAGAGACCGGUCCCUCUGAGCGAAAACUGCCCAGUCCGGGCUAUUGUAAUAUUGGAUUUUUGGGGGGCCUCACUGGAUUUUGUUACACUAGAUGGGCUUAUUAGCUAUUCCACCCUCUUUCCUUCCUCAUUUCCUCAUUCUCACCCUCUCCCUACACUUUCUAGAGAGAGAAGAAGAAGAAGGAGGAGAAGAAGAGGAGGAGGAGCUUGCUUGAGGAGGCUUGGAGCUUCAACCCUUUCUCUCCUUCCCACCCUUGCAAGGUUUGGAGCUUGGUUUUGGAGCUUAGUGGUGGAGAGAUCUUGGAACCUAGAGGGUUUUGAACCUAGAUUAAAGCUUCUAGGAGGUAAGCAACUUGUUUUUCUCCAAGAUUUCUUGUUUGGUGCGUUUUUACCUUAUGGAACCCUAGAAUGGAUAUUAGGGUUGAUUUUGGGGCUUUUUGAUCUAGGGCUUUUGGAGCUUGAUCACUUGGAUUAGAGCCUUCCUUUGGGUUGGAUUGGAAGGGAUUUAGCUCUCUUUUGGAGCUUAGGAAGAGGUUUUGCACUAGAGGUGAGUUUUUGACUCUAUUCUUGAGAUGGUUAAAGUUUGAGCCUAGAGUUGCUCGUAAUGCUUGUGUAUCUCUUCGCUGAUCACUUUUAGGGUAUUUUGAGACUUGUGGACAACUGGCGAAACGAAGGACACCGCGACGGUUCGGUGGGUUUGACCUAGCCACACAAUGAGAAAAUCUCAUUUGUGAUGUUUUGAGUAUCGUUAAAUGGAAAUGCAUGCAUAUUCAUACUAAAUGUAUUUAUUAUGAUUUUUGGAAGGCUUAAAAUGCCUAUGUUACAUGUAAUGAAAUUUUGAAUCUCUAUGUAGUAGAGAGUAGCAUAUGAAGCUUAUGCGGGAUUUUUGGCGUUCUCAUGUUGGACCAUGUUCCUUAUAGUGUAAAUGAGCUUUGAUUCAUGCAUUUAAACCUAAGUUUAAUUGAGACAUGAAAGACAACAAAAUUGCCAUAUAGGAGCACCGGACUAGAACAUUAUGUAAAUUGGAGAGCUAAUGUCAUCAAGCGGCAUUGAGCUCGGGACAUGUGUGAACCUAGUGGAUAGGGCCAUUGAGGAUGCGGAACAUGCGUAUUUAUUGAAUGUCUAAGUGUCAUAAAGGGGCACUAGACCUAGAGAACAUUGGAACUUCACUUGUGACUUAGAACUAGAUCUUCGAGAUNGCUUGCUUGCCAUUUGUGCUCAUUCGCACAUGCUUGUGAGGGUCGCUCCCUACAAGCCGGCACUCCGGAGUUAGCCUAUGCGACCUAUGUUCGCUCGUGCGGUAUUGAGAGGCCUACGGGGUCGAGUAGGACAGACACAUUCCAAGAGUAGGAAUGUUGGGCUACCACAGGUACUUAGGCGGCACAAGCUGGACUACCUUUGGUAGGUUCUUAAUUGGAAAUGAAAAUCGACACAGUGUUGAGAAUGAAUAAUCACUACUAGAUAGGCUUAGUAGUUGGAUUACUUGACAUGCUCAUGACAUAGCAUUGGGAUAUAUAGUAUACUUGCCUGUUUCAUUCAAUUGCAUCAUAGUAUACUGGGUUGCUUUGAUAGAGCUUACUCCUUAUGCAUUGACAUAUUGCAUCGUGAGGUUUACUUGUUCAUUAUGUUAUGGCAUAUUAGUAUGCAUUGGACAUAUCAUCUUAUGAUAACGUUGAUGUACAUCACUAUGACAUCAUGCUUACUUGAGAUAUAGUAGUAUAGUAUUUUAUUCGUACUUUCUUUCAGCAGUUCUUAUACUCGCUCUUUAUUGUUUAUUAUUAUUGUCGUUACUUACCCUUUUCUUUUGGGGCCUAGUGGUGCAUUGAGCUGAGGUCAGUAAUUACCCACUAGGAACUAUAAAUUAUAGUUCUCACGCCCUCUGUUUUAUGUUUUCUUUCAGAGCCUUCCACCCCGGGAGAGGCUAGGGACCGAGGGAAGGGCGUGACUUCGAGCUAGCUCUUCAGCGAGUGACGAGUCGCUAGGUGGUCUACCUCUCGAUGUUUUUUUUUUGGAGAGGUAGAGAGCUGUACCAGUGUACUAGAGACCGCCCUUUUGUGUAUUAUUUUUGGAGAUGAUAUUGUACUACUUUAUGUUUUACUCUUAUUAUUUUUGUAUACCUCUUUUACCUUGUUAUAAACUAUAGAUAUGUCUGUGCUCUGAUAUCUCUAGAUGUAGAUUAUCUUUGGUUUUAUUUUUCGCUGUUGUUUUAGACGCCUUAUAUGUGUUGAUAUAUAGCGGGUCUGGGCACGCUAUCGGGAGGGCCUCUGCUGGUUCCGGGGCGUGACAGAUUAAUUUGGUAUCAGAGCCUAGGGUUGAGUCUUAGUGGACCUAGCAAACCUUAGGCCGGUUGGACUAUAGGAAUUAGGCUCGUGAGAGACGAGGUCUAAUUGAGUUGUGAGCGAAAGUAUUAUGAUUGGGUUUAUGAUAACUCUAAAAAGUUAGAGUUUGAUCGGAGUGUAUGGCUUCUAACUUCGCGGAGGGUUUCGUUGGCGGCCAACAACGUAACAUCGGGAGUUAGUAGUGGAGGACACUUCUUGACUUUCGCACGAUUUGUGUUUUGUUAUUUGAGUGGGGAUUCGAUAGUGCGGGUUUCUAACUUGCACUUUUAUGUUCUGUAGUAUUGAUGCCGAUUACACGCUCCCAGUCUGCCGGGGCGGAUGAUGCGGCACACCUCGAGGAGGUUGAGACCUCCGCUACUUCCGGAUCUAUUGCGGUCCGUGACUUGAGGACCCAGCUCGCGGUCCUCAUUGAUCUGUUGGCGCAGUAGGUGGCGGCCGCUCAGCGACAGGCCGAGAUGGCACAGCGGCAGGAGGCGCGGAUGAAGCAUCUGGAGGAUCUCUUGCUACAGCAGGCAGCAGCUUCUAGGGAGACUCAGGUUCCCACACCGCCAGCACCCAUAGUGGACGUUGCGCCGAGGGCGCAAUCCUCCGCACCCAGUUCUUCGCGUGCGGCACCAGCAACCGCACCUCGGGAAGAAGUGGUCGCAGCACCACCGGUUCAGAUACUCGCGGCGAGGGUGGCUUUCCCUGUGAUGGCCGAGGGAGCCAAGCGGGAUCGGCUCAUGGAUCGCCUCAGUGAGUUCAGGAGGUGCAGCCCGAGGACGUUUGAUGGCGAGAACGUCGACCACUGGAUUGUCGAGAAGUGGUUGAUCCACAUGGAGAAGCUAUUUCGAGAUACCUUUGUGGAGGAGAGGGACAGAGUGUGGCUCGCCACACACUUCUUGGACGGCGAGGCCUACUGUUGGUGGUUGGAUAUCCUGGACAACCCCAACACAGAUUUGGCAGUGAUCUCUUGUGCGAGGUUCAAGGAGAUGCUUCUGGCGCACUACUUCCCUACCAGCGCCAAGAGGAAAAUGGAGCAGGACUUGCGCUGUCACGCCCCGAGACCGCUACCAAUUUGGUCCGGUUCGAGCGCGUCGAACAGACGCCGAACGGACAGAGUCUCCCCUGUCCGCCCAAGGCUAAGCAAACGAUUCAUGUACAGAAUUUACCAGGAACCAAUUCAUAAGUACACAAUCACAAGAGCACAACAAUGCUAACAAAGUAAGAGCAAGGACAAGUAUAAAAGCAUACAAGUAACGAUAAAGAGAGAAGGUCUAUCUAUUCAUCAUUCAACCUCUUUAAUACAUCGAUUUACACUUUAAACUGCCAAAUACAACAUGAGUUUACAUUUCCAAAAUGAUACUCACACCCUAUACAUUCAUCUACUCCAAGUACCAAAGGUGGCUCUAAAUGCAAGGAAAGUAAACUAAUGCAUCUAGGGGCUAAGCCCUUACCGCGAUCUCGCCGUGUGAACUCGCGCUCGGCCCUGUAGUAAAAUGGGGGGUGAGAACUAACUUCCUUAGUUCCCAGUGGGUUCGGCCGCCGACUCCGCCGGUCUCCCCACUAGGUCCAAGUGGGCACAAGUAGAUAAACAGAUAGAUAGAUAUGAAAGCUGUAAGGACAGAAUAGAAAACUACGCUACUAUGCCCGAAUCAUAAAAUAUAUGAAUGCAUGUUCAAUGAAAUGGGUAGGCAAUAACUCGUCAUCAUGUCAAGAAGUAAAGUAUAUUUACUGUUCAUUAAUCUUAUGGCUCACCCGAGGGUUCCCUACUACUCACAUAGCCAUUCGCGCCGUAGGGAGAUCAACUUCAAAACUACGAAUUCCGAGACCGUUGCGGGACCCACAUAGGCUAUCCUCGGGACCCAAAUAGCUAUCCCACGUGACAACUCCGGAGCGCACACUUGUGUGGAGCGACCAUCACAAGUAUAAACAGACCGUGAGCAAGAUCCAAUCCUCUCCACUCAGGAUGCCUAUCCUCUAGGGUUACUUUCAUCACAAGGUCCAUAGGUUUCGUAUACACUAGGACUCACAUAGAUGCCACUCGUCUUUUGUUUACUAUCAACUAGAUGCCAUCUUCUUUGUUUACUAUCAAACUAGAUGCACUAGUUCUUUGUUUACUAUCAACUAGAUCGCACUCAUUCUUUUGUUACUAUCAACUAGAUGCCACUCAUUCUUUUGUUUACUAUAAACUAGAUGCCAUAGUUCUUUGUUUACUAUCAACUAGAUGCCACUCUCUUUUGUUUAACUAUCACUAAUCCCACUAGUUCUUUGUUUAAUAUAAACCCAACCAUGAGUCCAUCUUCACCUGCGCACUAUAGGAUCAAUUUCGACCAAUGCCUCAAUCAAUCCACUAUAUCAAAGCAAUCUAAAGCAUUGUAUGAUAUCAUCUAGGUAAGCAUAAGGAAGCAAUGCACAAUCAUCCUAUAAUGAAGUGAAUACAAGAUGCAAGAUUUAAUGUACUAAGACAUAAAGGGAGUCAGUUGCUUCGGGAUGGUCACCACCCAGCUCUUGGUAGUGCCCGAAAUUAAAAAACCCAACGCGCGAUCCCUCGUACGUCGCUCUCACUCCUCGGGGGCAACCAAACCCUCAAGUACUUGUUUGGCGAUAACUCCGCACCGCUUGUCGAUCGACAAACCGUCUUCGCCAACGUGUUUAUAGACCUAGCAAUUAGGUUUACAGAGGGUUAUAUUGAGAUCAAACCCCAUAUUUCCAAAAUUGCAUUUUGAACCCUAGGUUUCAACUUUUGCAAAAAUUCACAAAAUUGAUCAUGAUUUAGGCAACAAUCAUCUAUUUAGCAUCAUAGGAUUCCAAUAAAUCCAUUUUAUAGCAUAUAAAUGAAGGCCCUAAAUUCUACCAUUAUAGGAUUUGAAAGUGCCCUAGGUUUCAACAAUGAGGAAAUCAUGGCUCAAGCUUCAAAUUCGAGCUAGAACCAUCUAACUAGCUCCAAUAGGUUCCAUUCAAAACAAUUUAAACCAUAAAACCUAUCUUAAGGAAUCUACCAUUAUAGGUUUGAGCUUACCUCUAAAAGCUUUCUCCAAGGUUGAGGGAGAGAGGAAGAGAGAUGAUCUUCCUCUUCUUGGUCUCUUCUGCCUUCUCUUCUUUCUUUCUUUUUUUUUUUCCUUUCUUUUCUUCUUCCUUUCUUUCUUCUUUCUUUUCUUUCUUUUCUUUCUAGAGAGAAAGAGGGAAAAGAGUGUGAGAGUGGGAGAGAAUGAGAAGAACUGAGGGAGAUAGUGUGUAUGUGUGUGUGUACGCAGCAACCAGCCCACCAUAGGCUGCUGUAAAAUUCACAAACCCCUCUGCACACCUAUUACAACUUGCAUUUUCGCAGUGUCGGAACAGUCGGGGCCCUUCUGAAUGUGUCGUUUGUGCUAAAUUCGACAGGCAUGCUCGGUUUAACGUACUGAGCAAGAAUAUAUCUUAGUUUUCAGUUUCGACCCGUUUGUCACCGAAAACCUGUGCCGAACUGUAAUCUUUAGUAGAUAGCAGUUCGAUUUUAUUCUCCACCUUCCGGUGUCAGAAUGGGCUUGAAACUUAAAUAUAGCCUCAUAAAAAUAAUUCUGACAUAUCCUCCAGUUUCAUAUUUUCUGACACUGUGCAUUUUCUGCUAAAUUUAUCUGCCCAUUCCUUCCAGAAAAUUCUAAUCUAUCUCUCUCUUGGNNNNNNNNNNNNNNNNNNNNNNNNNNNNNNNNNNNNNNNNNNNNNNNNNNNNNNNNNNNNNNNNNNNNNNNNNNNNNNNNNNNNNNNNNNNNNNNNNNNNGGAUUUUGGUACCCAGCCUUAAACCACAAUUCUCGGGACUCGAACCAUAGGUCGGAACACAGUCAACGACCUACCAGAAAGUCUGGAAAAGUUCAAAACACAAUCAAUCACUCGAACCCCACAAUUUGCAAGGUCCAGUGCGUCACAUGCGGAUAGGCGCCGACGAGAUAUAGAGUUCGCGGUGGGUGACCGCAUAUUCUUGAAGGUUUCGCCAAUGCGGGGGUGAAGCGGUUUGGAGUGCGGGGAAAGUUGAGUCCCCGGUACAUUGGACCCUAUGAAAUUUUGGAGCGAGUUGGCACGGUGGCGUAUCGGCUUGCCUUGCCGCCGAAGCUCGCGGAUGUACACAAUGUGUUCCACGUCUCCAACCUCCGCAAGUAUAUUCACGACCCCGAGCAUGCGAUGCUAUAUGAGCCACCGGAACUUCAAGGAGACUUGAGCUACGAAGAGUUUCCGGUGGGUAUUAUCGCUCGAGAAGUGCGAAAGCUGAGGAAUCGAGAAAUCCCCUAUGUGAAAAUUCGGUGGAGCAAUCACGAUGAUCACGAAGCCACCUGGGAACUCGAGGAAUUGAUAAGAAGGCACCAUCCUCAUCUAUUUGAGGAAUGAGGUAUGAGUUAAGUUGAAAGUUAGAGAAUUUGUUCGUUUCGAGGACGAAACUCCUUUUAAGGAGGGGAGGAUGUAAGGAAGUGAAUUCUCGAAAUCCGAGGAUUGUACUUCAUCCAGGAUCGACUAACUGUCGAGAGAAUACCCUUUGUGGGAGUUAAGAAUGUCCAAAACACUAAAAGUGCUUUGGAGUUGAGUCCACGAGAGCAAAUAGGCAAAAUCUUGACUCAGCAGAUUUUUGCUCUCGGGGACCGGUCCCUGGAGGGAGGGACCGGUCCCCGUAGCUGAUGGUCGCGUGGGAGGUCGAUGCGACCGGUCCCUGGCUGAGGGGUGUCAAACGGGCCACCCGACACGAGAGUGGGCCGAGCCGAGGCAUGACACGAGUACUAUAGCACUCAUGCCGGGCCGUCCCACCCCAACUCUUGGAGUUGGGUUUAGCAGCUUUAGGGCUCUCCCAAGGGUCUAGUAUGGCAGACCCCAUACUAGACCCUUGGGAGAUGAGCAUUUUGAUUCCUUUGGACCAAGCUUCCUUUCCCAACAGUCAAAAAUUUGACUGUUGGGAAGGUAUUUUGGUCCAAAAAAAUUUAAAAUUUUAAUAAUUUUAUAAACAUAUUUUAAAAUUUGAAAUUUUUUCACUUAUAUAUUAUUUUUUAAAAACUAAUAUUUUAUUUUUAUUUUUUGAAAAUUUUAAAUAUUUUUUGAAUAAAAUUAAUAAAUAAAAAACAGCUGGCCCAAAGCCCAGCCUAGCCCGGCACGACCCGUACCAUCCGAACCGGAGGGGGCGUGCUGGGCCGGGGUCCAAGAACUUUGGCCCGGCACGACACCACCCGACUUUGGGGUCGGGCCGUGCCGGGCUGGCCUCCAGCACGUAUCGGCCCGGCUAAAUGUUCACCCCUCCUACUCAUAAUGGAGCAUGUCUGCGACCACGAAUGACGUACCUUGCACGAUUAAUCUUAUUUUGAUUUCCCGUGGGGUAGUAUUCAUGAUUCAGAUUAAUAUUUGAAUAUGUAUGGUUAUCAAGUAUUAUGGAUCCAUGGCUUCCAAUAAAUACAAGCAUUUACUGUUAAUUAUCCCUAUAAAAUAUUAGGGUACCCGAUUAAGAGACCUCUGAAAUGCUGAAGGAGAAAUAAACUGGAAUUGAACAAAAAAGAUUUUAUAAUAUAGUUUAUCAUUCAAUUACAUGGCUUUAACCAAGGGCAUACUCUCAAUGUACAUAAACAGAGCAUAAAAAAAAAGUGCUUAAUUUUACGAUAUGAUGGUCAACUGAACUUAAUUUUGAUUGCACCUUGGUUAUAUAUUCCAAGAUGCUCAAAGUAUAUGAUCAAGUUAAUUUGGUUGGGCUCUAUAUGUUUCGGAGCUCAACAUUGUUCACCCUAAGAUGAAAGAUUGAUUAAAUUCCACAUAUAUGCAUUGGGACUUAAUCGGAUUUGAUUCAAAUUAAACUCUAAUUAGAUGCAUUAGAGUUUGAUUUGGUUAAUUGAACUUUAAUUGUAUGUAAUAAAGUCCAAUAGAAUUUUAUUUAAUUUAAGCUUUCAUCCUAAAUGUAUGUGUUAGGAUUAGCCCAAAUAUUUUGAAUUGGACUCUAAUUUUAUAUCUUAGAGUCUAGUGUAAUUAGGCCCUACGCUUAUGUGUUAGAGCUUAAUCAUAUUUACUUUGGGUUCACCAUAAGGUGAAAUGUUAACUAAAUCCUAAUUAUAUAUAUUAGGAUUAGUCAAAUUUAAUUUAAAUUAAACUCUAAGUAUAUGUAUUAGAGUCUAACUUAGCUUCAUUUAUUUGAACUCCAAGUAGAUGUAUUAGAGUCCAAUAAAUUUAAUUUGAUUAGGUGAAACCUAAUCUAUUAUUUUUUACCUUAGUCACAUAUACUAAGAUAAAUAUAUGGUUUGAUCAAUUCUAAACAAAUAUUUUAGAAUUUGAUUUAGCAUGAAUGUGGUAGCAAUAUGACUCUAGCUUAAUGUGCUAGAGAAUUGGGUUAAAAAGUUGGUAGGGCUCAGCCUCAUAUUCAGGUUGUACCUAGCCUAUGUGGCUUAGGUUCAAGAGUGGAUUUGAUUGAUAAGCAUAAUUUCAAAUCUUGAUUUGGGUUAAAUUUUUGGAUUUGGUGCUGGUCUAUAUGAGGAGAUCCAUCAUCUGAAUUGGUUUUCAGUGCAAACAUAGUUUGGAUUAGUUUGGAUUCAAACUUGGGCCUGGGCUAGGUAUGGCUUCAUGUAAUUCAAGUUAUGGUUCAAUUCUACUAUGGAGUCAAGCAUGGUCCAAAUUCGGGCCCGUAUAAUUGCAUUCAGGCAUGGGCUAAAUUCAGGCCCAUAUGGUAUGAAUUCAAGUUGAGGCCAGAAUUGAAUUUAAGUUCUGGAUGUGGGCUUAGGCUUAGUUUAGGGCCGUAUGACUUAAGUCCAAGUUUUCUUUGGGCAAGCUACAGAAUUGGGCUCAGAUUCAGGUUUGGGCUGAACCUGAGUUAUGCUGAGCUUGAGUUAUGUGAUUUGAGGUGAGUAUGGGCUUGGUCCAUACAAAAUCUUUUAUUUUGAGGUGGUUAGCCAGAGAUUAUUUGGGACUUGUUGAGAUCAAAACAUUGAAAAUUUAAAUAUUUAAUUCAGAAUCAAAUUCACUGCUUUAAUUUUGAAUACAUUUUUUUAUAAUAAUCACGACUUAAUCUAAUUUGGAGCAUAAAGCGUCCAAUGCGAUUAAAUCUCAAUUUGAUCUAGUUUGGCCAAAUCGAGAGAUUCGACUCUGCAUAGAAUCAAAAGGGGAUCGAUUAUUUUUCGAACAUCCCGUUGUUCUUCCAAUAAAAAGACGAUUAAAAGAAUAACAAUCAACAAUCCGAUUGAUUUCUUUUGCCUCUUAAUUAUAAGAGAAUUAAGAGAGUAUUUUUCUCUUUAUCUUCUUUGAAGGUACAAGACAACAAAGAUGGAUAAUCCUUCUUUGCCUCUCUAAGUAACAAAGCUCCCUCUCUCUUUUGAUGAUAUAUUUUUUUACGAAGAGAAGAGCACCGCUCUCUCUCUUUUGGUAACACACUUUUUUUUUUUAAAGAGAAGAGCACCGCUCUCUCUCUUUAUAUGCAGGUUAGGUUCGCCGUAGAAAAAUGCGUCUUGGGCAUUUCGUCAAACAAUUGGUGGGCGUGAUGCGUUGCGCAACUCCGAUUGCUUUGGAAUCGCAGUAGAGAGUUGGAAGUCGCAGCUAUGAUAUAGUCGAUGUAGUGGCAAGGUCGAAGGUGAAGAAAUCGACGAAGUCGUUGGGCGUCAUCUCGGGAUGGAUGGACGCCAACGUUCCGCAGCAUCCGCAGCAGGUGCUCUAACAGCACCACUUCGCGCACGAUGAUCACCGCCGAUGGCAUCCCCUCUCCUCCGUCCGAGCGCUCGAUGAGGACGCGGAAGAGCGGGUGGUCGAUGAGAUCGGAGCUGACCAUGUAGCACACUGGAGCUGUGCAAAUUGCGAGGCUCGAGUGAUUGGAUGUGUUCCGAGCUGUUCCACACUUGGUGGAGGGUUGUAGAAUGUUUUCCGACCUAAGAAGUUCGAAAAUCUGAGUUCUGGACGAGUCCUGAGAGUUUGUACUCUCGGGGACCGGUCCCUGUGUCACGCCCCGAGCUCCGCCAAUUUGGUCGGAUUCGAGCACGCGACAGACGCCGAACGGACAGUACCUCCCCUGUCCGCCCAAGGCUCGAACAACAAGUAUAAUGCAAGCAAAACCUAAAGGAGAAUUGCGAGAUAUACAAGGUUUGCACUAGGGCAAACAACAACUACAGUGAAAGCAUCGAAACUAAUUAAACAUCCAAUAUACAUGUCAUUUGAUUACAUUUGAAUCAAACACAAGUAGUCCAACACAUUUACAUUCAUUACAUUAUUUCUUGCAUUACCCAAAAUAAAAUUUACAUUACAUCGCUUUUACUUUACAAUUUCAACAUAGAAAAGUUGAAUACAUCAAGAGUAGGGUAUGCCUAUGUAACUCCGGGGUCGCUAUCUACGGCGCGACUCCCUUGCCUCGAUCCUCCGNCGCGCAAUGGCGUUGCCGCGCUCUAUCCAUAGUGCACGAUCAAGCACCUCUUCAUAAGUCAUCAGCCGAAGCGCCUGAACCGUCUUGAAUAUCUCCGGCCGCAAUCCACGCUCAAAGACCUCCGCCCGAUCCCGGUCACCAUGAACCAGGCCGGGAACACAGUUAACCAUAUCCGAGAAUUCCCUUUCAUACUCCCGUCCACCAUGAUCUAGCCGGCCCCUCUAAACAGUGAGCCGCCAAACGAACCUUGUCUUUCUCGAGGGUGUAGAUAUCCUCAAACAACGCCUCCAUCGCAGAAAGCCACGCCUCCAUUAACCAUGGGUCUUUCACAUCACCCACAAAGGUCGGAGGAUUGAACCGUUUGAAGGCCGUCAACACCGCCAACGACCGCUCCUGCUCGGCUUCAAGUACAUCCGGAAUAGGGGCCAAAGAACCUGAAGCUGUCGGAGGAAUAGCCGUCACCGGUGCCGCCGCCAUCGGCGUAGGUGCUACAGGUGCAGGCGGGUCCUGAGGUACAGGUGCAGCCGCCGCCGCCUGUCGAGCCACCAUGUCGUGGAGCUGCCCUAUCUGUUCCCCCUGUUGUCGCAUAGCCCCCGCCAAAGCUGCUACUUGGGCCCGCAACUCGCGAACUUCAUCGGAUCCAACCUGCUCUGGCACCUCAUCAGGCGAUGCCGGAACGGUCCGUCGGGUAUAACGUCUCGGUGACAUCUGUCCUGAAACGAAACGAACGCGUUAAUACUCGACAUUCGAGUCUCUUACUCGUUCCAAAUAACUACCCAAUUAAGCGAAAGCAAUCAAGUACGUUCAUUUUCUACUCUUGGCAUUAGGUGGUCGUCCGCCCCACAUAAUACCUCAAAAAGAAAACAAACGUCCCUUGAGUCCAUCUCUAUUUCCGUUUAGAGAAGUUCCAUAAUAACCCAAUCAAUUAGCCUUCGCCAAUCCAAGUCCACGUUAUACGUAUCCUAAUUCCUAAGGUCUCCAAUCCUAAGGACCCUAAGUCCAUCCUAGACUUUUGCUUUCACAUGGCUCUGAUACCACCAUAUCUGUCACGCUCCGAGCUCCGCCAAUUUGGUCAGAUUCGAGUACGCGACAGACGCCGAACGAACAGUACCUCCCCUAUCCGCCCAAGGCUCGAACAACAAGUAUAAUUCAAGCAAAACCUCAAGGAGAAUUGCGAGAUAUACAAGGUUUGCACGAGGGCAAACAACAACUACAGUGAAAGCAUCGAAACUAAUUAAACAUCCAAUAUGCAUGUCAUUUGAUUACAUUUGAAUCAAACACAAGUAGUCCAACACAUUUACAUUCAUUACUUUAUUUCUUGCAUUACCCAAAAUAAAAUUUACAUUACAUCGCUUUUACUUUACAAUUUCAACAUAGAAAAGUUGAACACAUCAAGUGUAGGGUAUGCCUAUAUAACUCCAGGGUCGCUAUCUACGGCGCGACUCCCUUGCCUCGAUCCUCCGCCGCCCCGCUCGCGUACGGAUCUGCAGGGUUAGUGGUAAUGAGAACUAGAACGAAGUUCCCAGUGGGUUCGGCCGCCGACCACGCCGAUUCGCCCACUAGGUCUAAUUCAGGCAUAUGUAUAUCAAUAAAGAAGAAUAACAAACCAACUAAUGCACAUCUACUACAAUGCCUGCAAGAAACAAGUCACGGAUGGAUAUUCAUAUUCAAAUACAUGAAAACGAUGCAUGCAUGUCCUUCUUCACUUUCCUUUGGCCUUUACCCAAUUCAACCUGGGGUGCUCCUGGUUUACCCCAACUCACAGUCAACAUAUCCAUCUAACGGGGGAGGCACAGGGCACUACCACCCGAAGGAUCUUCGCCGGGCACGUCCACCCGUGGUGCAUUUCUUCUCCGGAGUACACCGCUCGUGGAGGAGCGACCUCUCACAAGCCGGAACCAAUACAUGUGAGUAUGAUCCCAUCCUCAAUUUUGAGGAGGUAUGGCCAACCUGUCACAACUCUCACUGUCUCAAUGCUAAUGAAUUGUUAUUACCUAUUCAUGCACAUACUGUCACUUGCCAACGUCACAGUGGUCCUGAUGCCACAAUACACAUAAUGUCACUCGGGUUAAACCUUGUUUAUCUAUUCACUUAUCGGUGUCAAUCGAGUCACUAAUGUUCAUGUCACCUUUGUUUACUACGGUCACGGUCAUUCCCUAUAUUCACAUGCAUAUAGAGUCUUUCACUUUCCUUUUUCACAUGGUUCUAUAUCACUACAAUGAUCUCAAACAGAUAAUUGUUACAACCAACACAUGCUGUUCAUUACCCUACAUGCAAGAAUGCUAUAAUAUCGAUAUGCUCAAAUGAUAAGACAUAGACAUAGAAAGAGAUCCGGUGUUUUCGGAUAGCACCCCCCACCUUUGUGUGUCACAUGGAUGCCACGGUUUCGAUUUCACGAUUUUGGACUCGUUCGCCGCAAGCUACGACGAUCUGUACUAUUUCUGCUUCUUUUUCCAAUAUCUUCGCGCACGCUCGUCGUAUCGCCGAACCGAGCACACCGAUGCGUUCGUAGACCUACCAAUUUGGUUAAAAUGAGAUCAAAUCCAAGUUUGAACCUCAAAAUUGCAAAACCCUAAUUAUAGGUCCUCCACAAUAUCAUCUUCUCCAAUCAAGCCCCUAGCUUGACAAAACAUGGAGGAAAAUCACCCUAAACAUCUCUAGAUGCCUCAACUAGAAGCAAAAACCCAAAACCUAACUCAAUAUCACAAGAACUCACCUUGGGAGCCCAAAACUUUCCUUCAAAGCCUUGAUCAAGCUUGCUCUUCACCUUGGAGAGCUUCUUCUCCAAGCUUGCUUCUCCAAAUCCCCUCUUGGUCCAAGCCCUAGAGAGAGAGGGAGAGAGAUGAGAAGGAUUUUAGAGAGAGAGAGGGAAAGGUUUGAGAGUAAGAGUGAGAACAAAUAGCUCUCACUCAUGCCCUAGCUCAAUAUAACCCUUCACAAGCCAUAUUUGCAUUUAAACCCCUCUCAAUUUCAUAUUUGCAACUAGCCCUUACUGGGCAUUCUCGGGCUCGGGGACCGGUCUCUCCCUUUCAGGGACCGGUUCCCGAGAGCUACCCUGCAACCUGCGCAGUAGGGGACCGGUCUCCCCCUGAUGAAACCGGUCUUCGGGGACCGGUCUCUCGCCCAAGGACCAGUUCCCAAGAGCUCAGCUUCCAGGACUUAGCUGAUUUUUCCUUCUGCUUGAUUUACCAACGUUCGGGAACCGGUCUCUCACCCAAGGGACCGGUCCCCGAGAGCAAAAAUUCUGGAAAUUGUCCAGAAUUGCAGUUUCACUCUCUCGAGUCCCUUUAUACCACAUAUAUAGGCUCCAAUACACUUUUAGCCUAUAGUAACUCAUCCCUUUCCGCGUUCCACUCAUUUUGACGGAACUCGGCUCAACCUACGGGGAAGCGAUAUGUUACAUUCCCCACCCCUUAAAAUUGUUUCGGCCGCGAAACUAAUUCACUCGUAAUUCAAAAUCCAUACCUCAUCUUAGUUCCUCGAAGAGAUAAGGGUGACGCUCCUUCAUUACGUCCUCAAGCUCCCACGUCUCUUCUCGAUCGCCGUGUUCGCUCCAAUGGAUCUUAACAUACGGAAUCUCUCGAUUCCGUAGCUUUCGGACCUCCCGAUCAACAAUGUACGCCGGGAACUCCUCGUAGGUCAUGUCCUCUUGAAGUUCUGUCGGUAUAUACGAGAGAACAUGCUCCGGAUCGUGAACAUACUUGCGGAGAUUAGAUACAUGGAACACAUCGUGCACCCCCGCAAGCCUCGACGGUAAUGCUACUCUGUAGGCCACCGCGCCAACUCUUUCUAAGAUCUCGAAGGGUCCGACAAAUCGGGGACCUAACUUUCCCCGGACACCAAACCUCUUAACACCGCGCAUUGGCGAUACCUUCAGAAACACGCGGUCUCCAACCGUGAACUCGAUGUCCUUCCUUCGCUUAUCGGCAUAGCUCUUGUGCCUUGAUUGCGCCGUCACUAACCUUUGCCGGUCAAGACGAACUUUCUCCUCCGCCUCCCGAACAACUUCUGGGCCAAGAACAACCUUUUCGCCUACCUCGCUCCAAUGAAUUGGCGAGCGACACUUCUUUCCAUAAAGGGUUUCGAAUGGCGCCAUUGCAAUACUUUCUUGAUAACUAUUGUUGUAUGCAAAUUCCGCCAUCGAUAAAUAAUCGUGCCACCCUCCACGAUAGUCAAGCACACAUGCUCGCAACAUGUCCUCAAGUAUCUGAAUCGUCCUCUCAGAUUGCCCAUCACUCUGAGGAUGAAACGCCAUACUGAAAUCGAGCCGCGUGCCUAGAGCAUCCUGCAAGCUCCUCCAGAAAUGAGAAGUGAACCGGGGAUCUCGAUCGGAUACAAUCGACACAGGAACCCCAUGCAAUCUCACUAUCUCGUCCAAGUACGUCUGGGCCAACUUGUCUCCUGACCACGUGGUGUGAAUCGGUAAAAAGUGAGCCGAUUUUGUCAAACGGUCCACAACCACCCAUAUGGCGUCAUGUCCAGCUUGUGAUCGGGGCAGCCCGACCACAAAGUCCAUAGCGACAUUCUCCCACUUCCACACAGGGAUCGGUAGACUCUGCAACUUCCCCGCGGGAAAACGACGCUCAGCUUUUACUUGUUGGCACGUCAUGAAUUGCGCCACGAAUUCUCCGAUGUCCCUCUUCAUACCCGGCCACCAAUAAUGUAACUUAAGGUCUUUGUACAUCUUAGUGCCACCCGGGUGAAUACUAUAUAGGGAAUGAUGCGCCUCUUGCAACACCACUUUACGAAUCCCAUCGUCCUUGGGUACGCACAAUCGAUUUCUGAACCGAAGUGCACCGUCGGUCCCCACGCCGAAAUCACCAGCGUGCCCAUCGUUAACAUCAUUCUGCACCUUUUGGAGAUACGGAUCUUCAACUUGCCGCUCCUUGAUUUGCUCCAACAAGGUCGGUCGAAUUACUAGUGCCACCAAGGUAGUCGGAAUUUCCGGCGCCACUACCUCCAAUCCAAACCGCUGCAUUUACCUAUAUAAUGCCGGUUGACUAGUAAUCGUCGUCGCCAAGUUUUCAACAGAUUUUCUACUCAGCGCAUCGGCCACCACGUUCGCCUUACCGGGGUGGUACAAGAUAGUAAGAUCGUAAUCCUUUAUCAAUUCCAGCCACCGCCGCUGCCGCAUAUUCAACUCUUUCUGGGUGAAUAAAUACUUGAGGCUUUUGUGAUCGGUAUACACCUCGCAAUGCUCACCAUAAAGAUAGUGCCUCCAAAGCUUCAACGCGAAAACAACCGCCGCAAGCUCAAGAUCGUGGGUCGGGUAGUUCUUCUCGUAGCUUUUCAACUGGCGCGAAGCAUACGCAAUGACUCGCCCAUUUUGCAUAAGAACACACCCAAGACCGGUGUAGGAAGCAUCACUGUACACCACAAAGCUCUCUCCCGGCGUUGGCAAAGCAAGUACCGGGGUAGACGUCAACUUCUUCUUCAGCUCUUGGAAGCUUCGAUCGCAACCUUCGCUCCAAUCAAACCUUACUCCUUUGUGUGUAAGGCGUGUGAGAGGAGUAGUCAAUUUCGCAAACCCCUCAACAAAAUGCCUAUAAUAGCCCGCCAAUCCGAGGAAACUGCGGACUUCCGCCACACUCGUAGGACGGGGCCAAUCUCGAAUCGCCUCAAUUUUCUUCGGGUCCACCGAGAUUCCAUUCCCAGAUAUCACAUGGCCUAAGAAGGUCACCUCCGAAAGCCAAAAUUCGCAUUUCUUGAGCUUAGCAUAAAGCCUCUCAUCUCGGAGUAUUUGCAACACGGUCCUUAGAUGUUCCUCGUGCUCUUCUUCACUCCGCGAAUACACCAACACGUCGUCGAUAAACACCACGGUGCACUUAUGCAACAAUGGUCGGAAGACCCUAUUCAUCAAGUCCAUAAACGCUGCCGGGGCAUUGGUAAGCCCAAACGGCAUCACCGUAAACUCGUAGUGGCCAUACCGCGUACGGUACGCCGUUUUAUGCACGUCCUUCGGUCGGAUUUUCAACUGAUGGUAUCCCGACUGAAGAUCUAUCUUCGAGUAUACCCGCGACCCCUGCAACUGAUCGAAUAGGUCAUCUAUUCUCGGUAACGGGUACUUGUUCUUGAUCAUCACCUUGUUCAACUCGCGAUAGUCAACGCAGAGUCGAAGGGUGCCGUCCUUCUUCUUCACAAACAAUACUGGUGCUCCCCACGGAGACACACUUGGCCUCACGAAGCCUUUAUCGAGUAGGUCCUGCAACUGGGCCUUUAGCUCUUUAAGCUCCAUCGGUGCCAUCCUAUAUGAAGCCUUCGAAACUGGCGCCGCACCGGGAAUCAAAUCAAUGACGAACUCGACUUUCCGAUCCGGUGGUAGUCCCGGUAAUUCCGCCGGAAAUACGUCCGGGUACUGACACACCACCCGAAUAUUCCCCAACUCCGGGUGCUCCUUUUGAGGGUCCACGAUGGUCGCCAAGAAGCUUUGCAACCACCCUUGAUCAUCCUUUUCGCCCUCACCGUCGAUAUAGUCGCCGCAAAGCGCGCGCCUUUACAUGCCCGAUACUCGAACUCUUUUUGACCAGGCUCACGAAAAGUGAUCACCCUACUGUCACAGUCGAUGCUGGCAUAGUACUUGGAGAGCCAAUUAACUCCCAAGAUGACAUCAAAUCCCCACAUCUGCUUGAGCACUAGCAAAUCCACCGGCAUGAAUCAGUCGCCGAUUUGCACCGGACAAGCUAGGCACUCGUUGUGAACUCUAAACGAGUGUUCUGGUGCGUUAACCCACCAAUAGUCGUAAUUAUGCUCUAUGUCCAUGCCAUGCGUCUUAGCAAACGAGGCGUCAAUGAAUGAAUGCGAUGCGCCCGUGUCAAAUAAUGCCCUUGCUCUAAUGCCAUUAAUCAGAAUAAUACCUGCCACGACGUCGUCGGGUACAGCAGGCUGCUCCUCCAUCUGAGUGGCGAAAACCCGCCCACUCGGUGCACGUGAUCCCUCCGGUUGUCGCGUGAUGAAGCGCGCCCAGCCGACAUGGCAGGUGGCAGUCCUGCAAGCUGUCGUGGAGCAUACUGAGCCGAAGCAGCUGACGGAGCAGGUGACGCGCCGCCCGAGCAAUCCCAUCUCAUAUGUCCCGCUUGGCCGCAUCGGAAACAUCUCCCGUCACGCUGAGAACAUUCACUCGGCCUAUGAUUCCCACCGCAAAUUACGCACGGGAAGGAACUCAUCUGACUCCUUGUCUGACUCCUAUCUCGCCGCCACUGCGAUCUAGGGUGCCGAGGGGGUCACUUGGAACUCAACUGCCCCGCGGAACCACCAGCCGGUCGUUUCUUGGACUUCUCCCUGUCCUUGUCCCUUUCAAACGCCUCGCGUUCCUCGCGCGCAAUGGCGUUGCCGCGCUCUAUCCAUAGUGCACGAUCAAGCACCUCUUCAUAAGUCAUCAGCCGAAGCGCCUGAACCGUCUUGAAUAUCUCCGGCCGCAAUCCACGCUCAAAGACCUCCGCCCGAUCCCGGUCACCAUGAACCAGGCCGGGAACACAGUUAACCAUAUCCGAGAAUUCCCUUUCAUACUCCCGCACCGUUCGGCUUCCCUGCCUUAACUUGCGAAAGUCUUCCUUGAUCUUCCGCUUAUCACUUUCCGGAAAGUAUUCCAUUAGCAGAAACUCCCGGAACGCCUCCCAAGUCAUAGUAGCCGGAUCCAAGGACCGACCAUUCUUCACUCUCGUCCACCACGAUCGAGCCGACCCCUCUAAACAGUGAGCCGCCAAACGAACCUUAUCCUUCUCGAGGGUGUAGAUAUCUUUAAAAAACGCCUCAAUCGCGGAAAGCCACGACUCUAUCUACCAUGGGUCUUUCACAUCACCUAGAAAGGUCGGAGGACUAAACCGCUUGAAGGUCGUCAACGCCGCCAACAACCGCUCUUGCUCGGCCUCAAGUACCUCCGAGACAGGAGCCGAAGAUCCCGAAGUCGUCGGAGGAAUGGCCGUCACUGGUGCCGCUGCCACCGGAGUAGGUGCUACAGGUGCGGGCGGGUCCUGAGGCACAGGUGUAGCCGCCGCCGCCUGUCAAGCCACCAACUCAUGGAGCCGUCCUAUCUGCUCCCUCUGCUAUCGCAUAGCCCCAGCCAAAGCUGCUGCUUGGGCACGCAACUCUCGAACUUCAUCAGAUCCCGUUUGCUCAGGCACCUCAUCAAGUAGUGCUAGAGCGGAUCGACGCGUGUAACGUGUCGAGGACAUUAGCUCCUGAAACGAAACACACACGUCAUUACCCGACACGCGUAACUCUUACACGUUCCAAAUAGCUACCCAAUUAAGCGAAAGCAAACAAGUGUCCUCAUUUUCAACUCUCGGCAUCAUGCAGUCGGCCACCCACAUAACACUUCAAAAAGAAAACAAUAAGCACUUGAAUUCAUCUCUAACUCCUUUUAGAGAAAUACUAACAACAACCCAAUCCAUUCGCUUCCGCAUCUCCGAGUCCACGUCAUACGUGUCCUAAGUUCCUAAGGUUUCCAAUCCUAAGGUCCCUAAGUCCAUCCUAGACUUUUGCUUUCACUUCGCUCUAAUACCACCGUAUCUGUCACGCCCCGAGCUCCGCCAAUUUGGUCGGAUUCGAGCACGUAACAGACGCCGAACGGACAGCACCUCCCCUGUCCGUCCAAGGCUCCAACAACAUGUAUAAUACAAUCAAUUCAAUAAAAAGAUUGCAAGAUAUACAAGGUUUGUACGAAGGCAAACAACAAACAAUUACAGUGAAAGCAUCGAAACUAACUAAACAUUCAACAUACAUGUCAUUCGAUUACUUUUGAAUCAAACACAAGUAAACCAUUCAUUCUUUUCCAUUCAUAUACAUCACAUAAUUUACAUCUCUUUACACUACUAGUUCAACAUACAAAAGUUGGCUAUACAUAGGGAAUGCCUAUACUCCGAGGGUUGCUAUCUACGGCGCGAUACCCUUGCCUCGAUUCUCCGCCACCCUGCUUGCGCACGGAUCUGCAGGGACUAGAACGAAGUUCCCAGUGGGUUCGGACGCCGACCGCAUCGCCCACUAGGUCUAUCUCAGGCAUAUGUAAUUCAAGAAAUAAUAGAUUGCAAACCAACUAAUGCAAAACUAUUACAAUGCCUGCAAGAAAACAAUCCACAGAUAGAUAGAUGCACCAGUACAUGAUAAUUAUGCAUGUAUGUCCUUUGUCAUUUAUUUUCUUUUCCUUUGGCCUUUACCCAAUCAUCCCGGGGUACUCCUGGUUCACCCCAAACUCACGAACCACAAUUCCCGUCUACCGGGGGAGGCUACUUGUCACAGUCCGCGACCACCGGCCUAUUUGGCCGAGGUCGCGGCGCCGACGACAGUGCCGAAUGGACAGGGUUUCCCCUGUACUGCGGACAAAGUCUCCCCUGUACAUUCAAGGCAACGAAAUCAAUACAAUACGAAGGUUCCAACCAGGAACUGAUAUCAAUCAAGAUUGCAUAAAGGAAGGUAUCAACAACAUAUCACAUCCUACGUUAUUACAUGCAUUCUCAUUCAUAUGUUUUUACAUCACAGUUCUUUUUACAUUCAUUUUCUUUUUCAUCCAAAUGCAAUCUAGUUAUUACAAAUUUAUUUACAAAUUGAUACAUUGUGUUCUUUCCAUUUUCUAUACCCCUAGCCACGUCGACGGGGUACUGCUAGCUCUGGUCUCUGGGUAGGGCGCUAUCUACGGAGCUACGCCCUCGCCUCGCGCCGCCGCGCCGCNNNNNNNNNNNNNNNNNNNNNNNNNGGCGCAACUACUGUACAACUUGUAAACACUCGCAAAACAUAACGUGGUAGAAAACUAACAUCCCGGUUACCAGUGGUACGCGAACCGCAAAGGGAAAAGCCUUGACCAAAAGUGUUACGUGAGGCCACCAUCAAUGUUAGUUCAACAAUGAUAUGCGAACGAUUAUAUAUAAUUAUAUUUCUUGAAAUAACAUGUCAGGACUACACAAAGCUGAAAAUAAUGGCAACAUCAAUGCAAGCUCUAGUAGUCAUUUGAUUCUACGUUUACUUGGCUAAUUUUAGCAUCAUACUUUAUUCUAAGGUGUUCUAUUACGCUAUUCCAAACUCAAGUUGAAUUGCUCUACGGUCUUUAUACCUAGUCUUAUCUUUAUCAUAGCCUUAUAAGGUUUUAUUAGCUAAUCAAAGCUAAAACCGAUCGGCCUCAGAGUUCAAUCAUCCGCCGGAUUCCGCGCACCGUGCCGCCGUCUGGUGACCUAAGCCAGCUGCGCGGAAUCGUCGCAUCCACAUGGCCGAACCUAGUUCAAGUUAUAGAGGUUUACACACGACCAAUCCAUAAAUACUUUUCGCCAAAAUCAUAAGUCCUCGUCUUCACGGCUUAUUCUCUAUGGUUUUUACUACUCCUAGGUCUCCUAGUCAUCUAAACCAUUUUCCCUUCUCUACUUUAUGUCUGCUGAUACCAUCUUCUGUCAGCAGCCAGCGCGACCACGUGUACUAUUUCUGCUUCUUUUUCCAAUAUCUUCCCGCACGCUCGUCGUAUCGCCGAACCGAGCACACCGAUGCGUUCGUAGACCUACCAAUUUGGUUAAAAUGAGAUUAAAUCCAAGUUUGAACCUCAAAAUUGCAAAACCCUAAUUAUAGGUCCUCUGUAAUAUCAUCUUCUCCAAUCAAGCCCCUAGCUUGACAAAACAUGGAGGAAAAUCACCCUAAACAUCUCUAGAUGCCUUAACUAGAAGCAAAAACCCAAAACCUAACUCAAUAUCACAAGAACUCACCUUGGGAGUCCAAAACUUUCCUUCAAAGCCUUGAUCAAGCUUGCUCUUCACCUUGGAAAGCUUCUUCUCCAAGCUUGCUUCUCCAAAUCCCCUCUUGGUCCAAGCCCUAGAGAGAGAGGAAGAGAGAUGAGAAGGAUUUUAGAGAGAGAGAGGGAAAGGUUUGAGAGUAAGAGUGAGAACAAAUAGCUCUCACUCAUGCCCUAGCUCAAUAUAACCCUUCACAAGCCAUAUUUGCAUUUGUUUACCUCUCAAUUUCAUAUUUGCAACUAGCCCUUACUGGGCAUUCUCGGGCUCGGGGACCGGUCUCUCCCUUUCAGGGAUCGGUUCUCGAGAGCUACCCUGCAACCUGCGCAGAAGGGGACCGGUCUCCCCCUGAUGAAACCGGUCUCCGGGGACCGGUCUCUCGCCGAAGGACCGGUUCCCGAGAGCUCAGCUUCCAGGACUUAGCCGAUUUUUCCUUCUGCUCGAUUUACCAACGUUCGGGAACUGGUCUCUCACCCAAGGGACCGGUCCCUGAGAGUAAAAAUUCUGGAAAUUGUCCAAAAUUGCAGUUUCACUCUCUCGAGUCCCUUUAUACCACAUAUAUAGGCUCCAAUACACUUUUAGCCUAUAGUAACUCAUCAAUUUCCGCGUUCCGCUCAUUUUGACGGAACUCGGCUCAACCUACGAGGGAAGCGAUAUGUUACACCCUGGUUGGGAGAGACCGGUCCCCCCAGAACAGUAUUACGGCAGCCUUGAGGCAACUGGUCCCUGGCGGAUGAGACCGGUCCCCGAGCGCGUCCACGCGGGGAGAGACCGGUCCCAUGCGAGGAGAGACCGGUUCCCGAACGUUGGAUUUUUCAGGGCAUGCCGAGAGACCGGUCCCAGGUUGGGGAGACCAGUCCCUCAGUCCGAAAUCUGCCCAGUCCGGGCUGAUGCAAUAUUGGGAAUUUGAGGGGCCUCUUUCAAUUUUGUUACUUCAGAUGGCCUAAAUAGCCAUUCCACCCUCUCCCUUCCUCAUUUCUCUUCUCUCAACCCUCCCCACACUUUUGUUAGAGAGAGAAGAAGAAGGAGAAGUUGGAGAGCAAGAGCAUCUUCCUCUUUCCCAUUCCUCACUUUUGGAGGCUUGGAGCUUGGACUUGGAGCCUUGUGGUGGAUUAAUCUUCAACCUUUAAGCAUUUUGAGCUUGGUUUAGAUCUCCUCUUGAGGUUAGUUGCUUAGUUCCCCCCUCUAGACCUAUUUUUGCUAGAUUUUGGGAGAUGAAAACCUAGAUUUAGAUUUUAGGGUUGAUUUUGGGGCUUUUUGAUUUAGGGCUUUUGGAGCUCAAUCUCUUGGAUUAGAACCUUCCUCUAGAUUACAUUGGAAGGGUUCUAGCUUUCUUUUGAAGCUUGAGAAGAGAUUUUACUCUAUAGGUGAGAUUUUGGCCCUUUUGCUUGAUAGGUUAAUGAUUGAGCUAAUAGUUGUUCGUUUACUUCUUGUAGCUCACUUUUUGAUGCUUCUAGGGUGCUAGGAGACUUGUGGACAACUUCGUUCGAGCUUACGAAGGAUUCCGAGACGGUUCGGUGGGUUUGACCUAGCCACACAAUGAGAAAAUCUCAUUUGUGAUGAAUUGAGUAUCGUUAAAUGAAAAAGUAUGCAUAAUCAUGUUAGAUGUUAUUUAUGAAUUUUAGAAUGCUUAAAAUGCCUAUGUUACAUACAUUGUAUUUUCGGACCUCUAUGAAGUAGAGAACUUACAUAUGAGGCGUAUGUGUGCAAUAGCAUUCUUAUGAGAGACUUCGGAUCAUGUUUACAUAGUAAUAAUGACAUAUGUAAAGUGCCUAUGGACUUAGACUUCAAUUGGAUAUUGAAACUAUUAUAAUGCCAUAAAGCGACAUUGGACUAAUGUAACUUGUGAAUUAGUGAGCUAAUGUCAUAAAGGGGCAUUGAGCUCGGGUUAAAUGAGAACCUAGUAUUAAUGUCAUGAAUGGAACAUAGAAUAUGUAAUGUGCUUAAUUUAUAACAAGCUUAAGUGUUAUAAAGAGGCACUAAGCAUAAUGAGUGUUGGAACAUCACCUUGUGACAAUGAACUAGAUCAUUGGGAUACUAGUAACUUUGACCAUGUUAGAGACAUGAUGAUUGGACACUUGGGACAUUGACUACGUUUGUUUGCCAUUUGUGCUCAUUCGCACAUGCUUGUGAGGGUCGCUCCCUACAAGCCGGCACUCCGGAGUUGGCCUACGCGACCUAUAUUCGCUCGUGCAGUAUCGAGAAACCUACGGGGUCGAGAGGGAUAGACUCAUUCCUAGAGUGGAAAUGCUGGAGCUACCACCGACACUUAGGUGGCACAAGCUGGACUACACUAUGUAGGUCCUAGAACAUGAUGGAAACAAUGACAUUCAAUUGGGAGAUGACAACCACUACUAGAUAGGAUUAGUAGUUGGAAUACUAAGACAUGCUUAUAGCAUAGUGUUGGGACAUGUAGUAUACUUAAUAGUUUACUUAUUGCAUCAUAGUAUACUUGGUUGCCAUGAAAGAGCAUAAUCAUCAUAUAUUGUCAGAACAAAUCAUGUUAACUACUUGCUUGCCACGUUGAGACACAGUAGACAUGCAUGGGGUAUACCACAUCUUGAUAGAAAUACAUUGACAUCUUAUAGUUUUUGGUAUAGUAAUUUAGCAAACAAUACUUGCUCUUAUAUUUACUGUUUAUUGUCGUACUUACCCUUUUCUUUUGGGGCCUAGUAGUGCAUUGAGCUGAGGUCAGUAAUUGCCCACUGGGGACUAUAAAUUAUAAUUCUCACGCCCUCUGUUUUAUAUUUUAUUUCAGAUCCUCCCACGCCGGGAGAGGCUAGGGACCGCGUAAAGGGUAUCGCCUCAAGCUAGCUUGGCUUCGAGGAACGCGUUGAUAGGUGGUCUACCUCUCGUCGUUUUCUUUUUGGAGAGGUUGAGAACUGUACCAGUGUUAUAGAGACCACCCAUUUUGUGUACUUUUGAGAUGGUUAUUGUAUAACUUUAUGUUUCCUCUUUAUUAUUUAGUGUGUUCCAACUUCUCUUAUCAUAGACUAUAGAUAUGUACUUGCUCUGAUAUCUCUAGUUGUAGAUCAUCUCUUGCUUUAUUUCCGCUGUUGUUGUAGACGCCUUAUAUGUGUAGACAUAUGGCGGGUCUGGGUGCGCUACCGGGAGGGCCUCUGCCGGUCCCAGGACGUGACAGACCAGGUGCCGGCUCCGGGACUUGUCGACAUAGAUUGGGUGCAGCCCGCGCGGCACGACGUCCAAAUGCUCGUCGACGGCACUGUCGACGUCGAAUUUUGGCUCCUCCAACCGCUACUGCCACAUGUUGUCAUCUUCGUUGUGGGGAAUCAAGAGUCCGCAGGCGAUGAGCGAGAUGCAACGGCUGCUGCCGGAGGGGGAGUAGACUUAUAGAAGCCUCUUUUUAAAGAAGUGCUGCUCGUUGCGGACGUAGAUCGAACACCUGGUGAGCGAUGAUGAGGCCGGUGUCGAGCCGAAUGGCGGCGUAGUCGAGGGAGAUGAGCGCGGCGUCAGCGGAGUAGGCGAAGAAGGUGUAGGCGUUGACCAUGAGGUAGGAGCCGGUGUGACGGAGGAGGUCGAGCAUCGUGCGCAUUACGCGCUCCGCGAGGUCGUUCGGGAACACGGCCGCGGAGGGCGGGUAUGAGGCGCGAAGCGCGGUGAGGGCGAUGGGGGAGGAGACCUUCAUGGCACCGUCAAGGCUGAGGCGCGUGAGCACGGUGUGGACGUUGGUCAUGGCCGGGACGAGGAGCGCGAUGAGGCUGCUGUGCGGGCUCGCGAACAUCUCAUUGUCCUCAACCACGGCCGCGAUCUGGAUCGCCGGGUAGUACGCCGCCACAUUGCGCUGUACCUACCCGAGCGCGUAGCCCGGGCGCGACGCGGCCGCGGCGAGGAGCUCGUUAGGGAGCGCCACCACCACCCUGAUCCCGGGCUUGUACAAGAACGUGGAGAGGGAGAGAGAGCUUUUUUCUUCUUCUCUUUUCUUUUUUUUUUUUUUUUAGGAGAGAGAGAGCUUCGAUGCUGCAUCAAUGGAGAAAGGAAAAAAAAUAUUAUAUUACCUAUUUUUCUUCUUUCGUGAACAGGGGAAUGGGAUGGGUUUUUUCUGUUAGGGAUAGGUUUGAGAGUUGAAAAACAAAAGAGACCGUUCCAAGUGGGGUCCAAAUAGAUAUUUAUGGACUUAGGUUAUAACUACUUGGAAUUUUUCUCUUCUGUUUUUUUUUUUUUUUUUUUUUUUUUUAGAACGUGCAGAUGAUGGGGGUAGUGGGAUGUGAGAGAUGUGGAAAGUUGGGAUCAUGGAUAUGAUAUUGCAACUUAACCCUUUUAAUUUGCUUAUAUUAUACUGUAGUUAAAAUAAAGGAGUAAUAUAUAUAACAAAAUAUUUAUAUACUUGAAAUGGAGCAUCUUACAAAUAUAUGAAAGGAAAAGGAUUAAUUUGCUAUGUGUAAUAGCCAUGCAUGCCUACGAGAGCAUUCUUUCUCUUCCUUCUUUUUUGUAGUCUAUGCACCUAGUGCAUAGAUUAACCUAUGCACCAUGUUCAAAAUUUGAAUUCAAAUUUUCUCUAUGCACCUAGUGUAUAGAUCAUCUCAUAUACCAUAUUCCUAAAAGUUGGAUUCAAAUUUUCUCUCCUUCUUUCUCUUUUUUUUUUUCUUUUUUUUUUUGUGCUUUAACAGAGCAGUCAAAAUAUUGGUCCCUAUUACUGCUUUUCAAAAUUCAACCGAUCGUCGCAUAAGCUCCCCGGGGUACCACUACUAUCUACGAAGUGUCCCAAAUCACACUAUGCAUCUCUACAUUCCAUCCGUUGUACCAAAAUGCAUCAAUUUAGGUGUCGGGGCAGCCGCAUGCAAAGUGCAAACUAUGUACAAAAAAUAUGUCAUUUUAGGCUCCAAAAAUAUUGUUUUCAUUAUCAGAACCCACCAAGACCCUCCUACUGUCACCAAACACAAAAGACAAUGAAGGUCAACUAGCCAAGAAGGCUCAACAAUAUCCAAACACAGCCACAAUGUUGUUUCCAUAAGUUCCAUGCCAAAACUAGGCGAUUGUAAUAUACCGAAAUUUUGGUAAGCGAAUAUCGAACUUUAGUCAAAAUGACCAAAGUGCGAGGUUGGUACGCUUCGGAAAGGCCGAAGGCGUCAAAAGGGGCAAAAGUGCAUUGUAGGGGAUCUUCAAGAGCAUUGUGAGUGAAAUCUGCAAACUGCAGGUUUUGUGCUCUCGGGGACCGGUCCCUGAAGGAGAGACCGGUUCCCGUACGCGCAGCCAGCGAGAAGAAAGAAAAAUUGGCUAAGUCCUGAGAGUUUUGCUCUCGGGGACCGGUCCCUGCGGGGAGAGACCGGUCCCCGUGAGACCGGUCCCUCAGGGUGAGACCGGACCCGGGCUGCGUAAGCUGCAAAGAGUGCUCUUGGGGACCGGUCCCCUGCUAGAGAGACCGGUCCCCGUGCCCGAAAAGGGCCCAGUGAGGGCAAUGCACUGAGGUGAGAGUUGAGGGGCCUAAAUGCAAAUAUGCAUUUGUGGGGUUAUGUUAUGAAGGAUGAGGACUUAUUUCCUCAUUCUCUCCCACACACACACAUGUUUGAGAGCUCUCUCUCUCUCAAGGAGGUGGAUCUAGAAGGUGGAUUUGGUGGAGAAGGAGGCUAAGGAGUGGAACAAGCUUCUCCUUCUUCUUCCUAGGUGCAAAAAAAAAGGGAAGCUUAGAGGUAAGCUUCUUCCCCCUCUCAUGGUAGAGCUCAAGAAUGGAAACCAAAUGACCUAAGAAUGGUUUUGUUGGGAUUUUUAGAUGAUAAUAAGCUUGUUUUUGCUUGUGGAAGAGAUCAAUCCAAGGGUUUUGUAUAUAUAUGAAAGCUAGGGCACUCAAAUUGGGGCUUUUGCAUUGGAGGGGUUUAGAUCAAAAUUGAUCAUGUAGAAACCUAAUUGGGGGUAUUCCAGACGCGUUCGUGCGCUCAGUUUGACGUUACGAAGAGUCUAUGCGAUGUUAUGAGCGAAAAAAGCCUAAUUUAGCUUCGUUUUGCCACAGGCAAGGAAAUAGGCGGCUAAAAAUCAUGAAAUUCGAACCCGAGCACCUCAGCAAGCCUACGAGGAAGGUGGUGCUUCUCAAAAUCAUUGAACUUCUCUUUAUGUCUAAUGUGUCACUUAUUGAGCAUAUGUGUAUUAUUGAAUCAUGCAUAUUAGGGUAAUUGAGAUGAUUAUUAUGUGAGUUGUUGCAUGUUGUGAGUACAAGUGCAUUAUGAGACGGUUGAGAACCUAAGAACCCUAUGUAUGCAUGAGAUGAGAUAUGAUAACCUAGUUGAGACAAAGAACAAUGUGACACGAUGACAUUUAGAUCGAGUGGCAUUAGUAAAUGCAAAGAUGAAUACAAGAGUUAGUGUGUGUGGCAUGAGCAAUGAACUUGAAUGCCAGAGCAUUGGGACACUAGAGUUAGUGUGUGGCAUUUAAAGAACAAGAGUGGCAUUAAUGAAUAUUGAAUGCUAGAGUUAGCAUCGAAUGUGAUAUAAAGAACACUAGAGUUAGUGUAAUGGCAUGAUCGAGAACAAAGAAUGCAAGUACAUGUGAGAAUUGACAUUAUGACAUACAACCUUAUAGUUAAGGGUCAUGAAUGCAUUGUUUCCUUAUAGUUAAGGAAUGGAUUGAACUUACAUCCUUAUAGUUAAGAAUUGGAUCAUACUCGCCUUACGUCUUGGCUCGAGGGCGGUCGCUCCCCCUCGGGUGAUGAGCUUCGGAGUAGUCAUCACUGGGUAUAGUAGUCUCCCCAGAGGACGGUGCCUGUCAGGUUGUAGUAGUCUCGCUCAACAAUUGGGAUUACGAGUUGGUGAGGUGCUUUGGGCGACACCUACGGGUUAGCCAUGAGAUUGAACAAUGAGAACCAAGAACUUGCAUUCAUCAUGAAUAUUUCAUUGAGCAUGAUUAUUGAGUAUUAUUGUUUAGGCAUAGUAGCUGCAUUUGUUAUAGUUUGGUUACUAUCUACCUGCUUAUUCUUUCUAUUAUGCCUGAGUUAGACCUAGUAGGAAAGUCGGCGAGUUUAGGGGGCCGAACCCACUGGGAACUUCGUUGUAGUUCUCAGCCGGGACCGAGUGAUCCGGCCGACGACCGCGGUAAAGAUAUCGCGCCGUAGACAGAGACCACCCAAGUUGGGUUUCAUAUUUUGUAGUUGCAUACCCAUAUAUCAUCUUUUGUAUUUGAUGAUUAGAGAAGUUAAAGAAAUAAAUGUAAGUAUUCUAUUUUGAGGAAAUGUGAUGUGAAAAGAAAUGAUGAAAAGCAUGUAUUAUGAUAAAAGAAUUGUAAAUGUGAAAGUUGUAUGCUUGUAAUUGGUUAAAAGUUAAUCAUUCUACUUGUAUGGUUGUAUAGUUUAGUAUUCUUUUACUUUGGCUAUUGCUUACCCUCGUGUAAGCCAUUAUGUAUGUUUCCGCUUGUGUAUUCACUUUGUUUGAAUUGUACAUGUGUUGAGCCUUGGGCGGACAGGGGAGACUCUGUCCGUUCGGCGUCUGUUCGACGUGCCCGGACCGGCCAAAGGGAUCGGUCCUGGGGCGUGACAGCGAUAAUGACCGAUUUCGCUGACAAAAGUGUCGAAAAGCCUCAUUUCAGCUCCGAUUGAUUUCUGGAUUUAGCACGAUCCGGUCCGGGGGUCCAACAUACAUAAUUAACGCUGCCCAAGGUAGCGAGCAACUCGAAUUACCGAAAAAGCCCAUAAUUUUCAUCUAUUUUAUAGUAUUCAAUAAGAAAGUAGAGUUUUGACUCGUUGUCUAGACUUGCAUGGUCGGAAAGCUGAACCGUUACAUACACUAGUAGGCAGCGAUGCUCUGAACAUGUCACGCCCCGCGACCGCUACCAAUUUGGUCCGGCCCAGGCGCGUCGAACAGACGCCGAACGGACAGGACCUCCCCUGUCCGUCCAAGGCUAACCAACAGAUCGUGCAUAAGAAUUUACCCAAGAAUCAAUUCAUAAAUACACGAUCACUAAGCACCACUAGUGCUAUAAACAAGAGCAAGAUACAAGUAUAGAAACAUAUACAAGUACAUCAAGAGAGAAAAGACUAUCUAUUACAUUCAUUUGAUUUACUGCAUUUAGAUACAUCUUUUACAUUCUUCCAAAAUAUAAAUACAAGCAAUCAACCCUCACCCUAUACAACAUCUACUCUCAAAUACAAAAGGGGUGACGGCUAAUGCAAGAAAAGGAGGUAGCUAAUGCGACUAGAACGCCGGGCCCUUACCGCGAUCCUCACGCUCACCGGGGACACCCGAACUGGAACCUGUGGUAAAAUGGGGGUGAGAACUAACUUCCUUAGUUCCCAGUGGGUUCGGCCGCCGACUCCGCCGAUCUCCCCACUAGGUCCAAGCGGGCAUAAGUAGACAAUCGAUAGAUAGGUAGAUAGAUAAGGAAAGCUGUAAAUGGCGGAAAUGAAGCUACGCUACCAUGCCCAAUCAUAAGUAUAUGAAUGCAUGUCCAAUGAAAUAGGUAAGCAACUAAUCUGUUAUCAUGUCCAAGGGUGAAGCUAUUCACUCGUUCAUUAACCUCAUUUACUUGUUCAUUAAUCUCAUGGCUUACCCGAAGGCUCGCCUACAGCUCACUAGCCAUCUCGACACGUAGGGAGAAUCAACUCACACUACGGACCCGAGACCGUCUGGCGGGGCCAUAUAGGCAAUCCCUGGCGUGACCAACAUCCGGAGCGCACUACUUGUGUGGGGCUUCCAUCACAAGAUUUAACAGACCGUGAGCAUGAUCCAAUCCUCUAAGCUCGAGGAUACCCUGUCCUCUAGAGUCACAAUCAUCAUAUAGUCCAUAGGUGUCGCAUACACUAUUAACUAGAUUGUCCGUUUGUCCGCUAUCGACUAGAUGCCACUCGUUCAUAGUUUACUAUUAACUAGAUGCCACUCGUUCAUAGUUCAUCAUUUUCUCUACAUCAUAGGAUUCACAAUCUCGACCCAAUCCUUAUCAAUCCAAUAUAUCAAUUAUCCGAUGUACGCUACGAUACCAUGAAGGAAAAACAUAAGGAAAGGCAAUGCAUACUAAUCCUAUAAUGCAAUAAUACAAGAUGCAAGAUCAAAUAUACUAAGACAUAGGAGGGAGCCCGAUUGCUUCGGGAUGGACACCACCCACCUCUUGGCGAUGCCGUGAUAGUAGAAAACUCGACGUUGGGGUUCUUGUACGCCGCUUCAACUCCUCGGGGCGAAGCGAGCCCUCGAGUACCCGAUUCGGCGAUUUCUCCGCACCCGCUCGUCGGAUCGAGAAACCGACUUCGCCGACGCGUUCCGGGACCUAGCAAUUAGGUUUGCGACCUAUUAGAUUAGAUCAAAACCCUAGAUUUACCAAAAACCCAAUUCCGUGCCCUAGGAUGGCAACGGGGAAGAAAUCCGUGGUGCGAGCUUCAAUUGCGAGCUCGAACCUUCUCCCUAGUUCCAUUAGGUCCCAUUCAAACCAUAAAAACCCCAAAACCCUAGAAACACCAUUAAAGGGUUUAGAGCUUACCCCUACACAAGGUUCCUUCAAGCUUGAGGGAGAGGGAGAGAAGAAGAUAUCUUCUUCUUCUUCUUCUUCUUAGUCUUCUCUUUCUCUUUCUUCUUCUUUCUCUUCUUCUUCUCCUUCCUCUUCUUCUUCUCCUUCUUCUCUUUCUUUUCUUUUCUUUCUUAGAGAGAGAGAGAAAAGAGGGUAAGAGAGAGAGAGAAAGCAGCUGAGAGUGAGAGAGAGGGGUCCCCCACCUCUAAUAAAGGCCAUUUUGCAUAAAAGCCCCUCAACUUUCACCCUUGUGCACUGCCCUCACUGGGCAGUUUUCGCGCGGAGGGACCGGUCUCCCCGACUUGGGACCGGUCCCCGAAGGCUGCCAUUUCGAGCAGAGGGAUUUUCGCGUUCGGGAACCGGUCCUUGCCUGAGAGACCGGUCCCCGGGAGACCGGUCCUCGUCCGAGAGACCGGUUCCCGAGAGCUGCAUUCUCGGGACUUAGCCAAAUUUGGCUAAAUCUCGUCGGGCCAACGUUCGGGAACCGGUCCCUGCCCACCAGGGACCGGUCUCAUCAGAGACCUCCGCAACCCAGCCUGAUGGAACCGGUCCCUCCCUGCCAGGGACCGGUCCCCGAGAGCAAUUCUGCUCCAGUGCAAGUUUUGCACUUGGUGCUCUCGCGGGCCCUUCUUCAAUGCACUUUACGCAUUAUAAUCGCCUUCGGGCUUUCCGAAGCUUACGCACUCGACAACUAGUCGAUUCUAGUCGAAGUCUAACCCUCGAAUUUCGAGGAUUCACUUCCUUACAGAACAUAUUGCUCUCAUGAGGCAUUAACGACGGUGGACAACAAUGAAAAUCCAUCUUUCCAUUCUGUUGAAAAAUGGUGCAAGACCACCAUUGUUGUAACUCAACUUACAGGCUCUUAAGGUAGGAACGAAGGUGAGCAUGGCGAUGAGGAUGGCCAGAGACCACCGGGCACAUCAAACCGAGGUCGCCAAUAGCCAGGAUGGCCGGAACAGUGGCCACAGGUCUGGAGCAUUCUCAGCCUGGCAGCAAAGGAGUAGAAACAGUUUAGAAGCUUCUGCGUGGCUAGAGGCGGCCGAGGUCGGCCGGAGAGAAGGCUAGAAAGGCAGUGUCACUGUUCAAGGUUCCAGCCGAAUCUAGUCGUGGAAGUCAAUUCCUGAGAUCUGGCCAGAUCCAGGCUCAGGGAGACUCAGGGGCGGGCAACACUGGGGGAGGGUCGCUGGAGGUCACAUGGUCGGCGGCGAGACGCGGGCGUCGGCGCGGGGAAGCUGCGCUUGCAAAUUGCAAUGAGAGGGGGGGAGAGAGAAGAUAAGUGAGAAGGAGAGAGGUCUUGACUUUGAGAGAGUGAGAGAGGUCUUGAGAGAGAGGGGAGGUGAGAGAGAGAAAGACAGAGAAAUUUGGCUUGGGCUACUCACCGGCCGGGGAAGGUCGCUGGCGGGACGGCACUAUGGACUAUGGAGUGAGACUGUGAGAGAAGAAGCAGAGGCAGAAGGAGAAAAGAUUAGGAUUUUUUCCCUUUUUUUUUUUUUUUUUUUUUCCUUUUAUCUUUAGUCAUAACAAUUGCAGUGAUCCUCUCCUCGCCCAUUACAGUCCUUUCUCAGUGCUCCUCGCAUACAAGUCCUCUCCAUUCGAAAACUUUUUAUUUUUCACACAUGAAAUGAAAUGAUAAUUUUUUGCAAAUUACUUUUUUUUCUAUUUUCAAAAACUUAUAUAUUCCCUAACCUUUAUAAUCCGCAAUUUCUUUCUCAAAACUCAUCCAAAUAGAAGGUAUUACAAGUUUGGAGGGAUACAUGAAUUGACUUAAAUUUUGGACAUAAUAUAACUUCUUUUUUCUUUUUUUUUUUUUGACAGGUAGGUAGCACGCUACCCGCUUCGUUUAUUUCAUUUAGAAAUAAACUUAGCUAGAAAUGUGAACCAACUAGGAUUACCGAAAAUCUUGAAAAGAUAUCACGAACCAAAUGCAACCUCUGGGUAUAGGAAUUUAGCAAACGCUUCAAUUACAAAUGCUAAAAACAAACAAGAAAACUACACUUUUGUAGUUUAAUUAGUUUCACAUCUUCUUAUAUCCAAACAAAAGAAGUGCAUAAAAUAGAAAAUAAAGUCGCCUACUUCAAAACAAAUAUAUAGACUGGAGCUGUAGUUUCAUGAACUGCAGCCUAAAAAACUAAAGUUCAUGCAAAAUUCACACUCGUCAAUUACCAAACAGCCUCUAAUAUCACGAAUUAACUAACUUUCAGCGUUUUCAUCAUUGUGGUUUUUCAAAUAUAUCGCCAAAUUCAUCGGGUUGAUGAUGCGGAAACAAACAUAAAAACACCAUAUAUUUAUUGAACAUUGAAUGAUCAAAGACAAAAUAUUCUGGUCAGAGAGAGUAUAGAGGAGGCAUCUGCGGCUAUGAUGAGAGAAAAAGGAUGUUAUUGUAGUUAGCAAUAAUAAAGUUGACUUGAUUUAGCACCUAAAUUGAAAGUUGGUUAUCCGCAUAUAGAAACUAUUUGCUAGCACAACAAUAAAUAACAAGAUAGCCAUGUGAAGAUUUAAACCUGUUAUAUUUGGUUUAGAUUUAUAGUUAUUUAAAUUGGAGUUAAAUCCUAAUCUAAUUGAAAUUGGAUGUAAUUUAGAUUUAAUUUGCCAUAUAUGGAUUAUGAGUCGAAAUCUAAUUUCAAAUUAAAUUAGAUUAGACUUGUGUUAAGAAAUCUAAUUAGAUCAGAGUUUCAAUUAGACUCUAAUUUGAAGAUGCAUCCUAUAUAUAUGCGGCCAAGUUAAUGAAGCCGGCGCGACCAAAUUAAGGGCCAAGCAAUCCUCAAAUUAAUUUGCUCUUGGUGCUCGGCUCUUGGUACUUCAUUGGUGCUUAAUUAAUUAAGUCAUCCCAAGGUGUAUCCAGCAUUCCUGUCGUGUGGCGACCCGAGCCGAGAUGAAACCUAUUGUGCAUCUAUAUCUUCUAUAUCUAUAAUCUAUAUCUAUAAUAAUAACAUACAUGAAUUCUCAGUUUUGGAACAGGUGGCGAGCGUGGAGGCGCGGGCAGGGGUGAGCGCGGGGCGCGGGCAGGCGGGCGCGCGGGGCGGGGCGCCGCGUGGCGCGGGCACGCGGGGCGCGGUCAGGAAGCGCGAGCCGGCGCCGGGGGCGGGGGAUAACAGGUGGCGGCGAGCGGGGCGCCGGCAGGGGCGAGCGCGGCGCGGGCGCGCGGCGUGCGUGCGGGGCGCCGCGUGUGCGGGGCGAGCGGCUGCGCGGCGGCGGGCACGUGGGCGGGGCACCGCGUGGCGGGAGAGGAAGGAGAGGAGAGGAGAGCGGGCGCGGGCGUGCCGGGCGCGCGGGGCGCCGGCAGGCGGGCGCGCUCCGGCGGGCCGCCGCGUGCGCGGGGAGAGGAGAGGAGAGGAGAGGAGACGGCGGGACCCAGUUGAGGGAGAGAGACGGAAGAGAAGGGAUUUUUUUUUUUUUUAUCUCUUUUUGUCUCUUUCUACUUUUCUUUUUAAUUAUUUUUAUAUAUUUGUUCUCUAAUAUAUGAUUAAAAAAAUUUAUAAAUUUUUGUAAUUCAAUCUAAAUUUUAUUAUUUUUAUAAAAAUUUAAAAUAUAUAAAUAAUUUUUAAAUAAGUUAAAUUAUUUGUAUUAAAUAUAAAUUUUAAUUAAGCUGAAUAAAAGAAUUAUUAAAAAUAUAUAAAAAAUAAGAAAGAAAAUUUAAAAAUGAAACAUAAAAAAAGUAAAAAAAAAUAAAAAUAAAAGGAUAUGAUAGAUAAAAAAAAAAUAGAGUCAAAAUGUAAGAACAAUAAAUCAAUUUUUCUAAAAAUUAUAUAUAAUUAUAAUAAUAAUUAUAAUAUAUAUAAUUAUAAAUAUAAUUAUAUAUAAUUUCUUAUUAGUAUUUUUGUCUUUAUUUUUUUUAAUCUUUCUUAUAAUUUUAUUACAACAAUAGUUGUUUAUUUUUUAGUUAUUUUUUUAUACAAUUUUUUGACUCUUUUUUUUUACUAUUAUUUAUUUUAUUUAUAUAUUUAUUUCUGCAGAAUCGUUCCGCCGCAACGCGCGGGUCCUUCACUAGUUGCAUAUUAAGAGAGAGCCAAGACGCCGGCUAAUUAAGGCCAAUUUUUUUUGGUCCGUACGGGUCGAGAGAGAAGCCACUUUGGAGUUGCUCGUUGCGGCGUUUCCGAUCUAAUUAAACUUUGGUUCUUUUAAGAGAUCUUCUUUGUACUCCGCCUUUUCGAUAUUAAUAAAUUAUUUGCUCCGUCUUCGCCCGUGGACGUAUGCCGUUGGCCGAACCACGUAAAUAUCGGUAUGCUCUUUCCUCUUAUCUUUUCGUUUCCUGCAUCAAGUUAUUUUUCUGGGUCUAUUUUUCGCCAUUCUGAUUUUAACAAAAACACAACAACAAAUAACUGUUUAUAACUGUAUAUGUAGCAAAGAUAACUUUGUACAGUACAAGAAGACAAGGUGUCAACUGAAAAGUGAGCUCUCUUUUCCUUACUCUCUGUUGACUCCAAGACAAGAUUUAUUGCAGUCCACGUAACAUACGAAGAACAGCUACGGGUACAUAAAGGUUGCACAAUGGCACUGCAUUCUUAAACAACUGACAGGGUCGAACUGUUGAAAACAGAGAAAUUAAUGAAGCCACAGUACUAGAAGUUUUCCUUGUGGAAUUCAAACCUCGUACUUGUUUUGUGAGUGAAAUCUUGUGACAGUUGUUUAAGCUCCUCUACCAAGACUGGUUCCCCACAGUAGAAAACUCCUGAAAUUAAAUAAAUUAAUCAUCAAACCAACAAUUCCGCACAAUGAAACAAGCAUUUCAUAGUGAAAGCAUUAGAAGCAGCGAUCCUACAGAAGAGAUCAUAAUUUGAGAUAAGAGGGUGUGCUUUGGCCCGAGGAGCAGCUAGGAUUGUAAGUAGUCUAACUCUUUUACUUCAUACAGGUAAUAGGAAAUUUCACUUGAUUUACAUAUGUUUCUCUAGAAACUCGCAAAUUGUAGGAGAACUUACCAACACGCUGAUUCUCAUGAUGUACAGCAACAUGCUUGAAAACCUUUCGCCAAUUGGGCCUUGCAAAGUGGGUCUUGACGCGGGUCCCAGACACGAUGUCGACCCCCUUCUUUGCAUGAUGGAGUGCUUGGAGCAUGACAAUAAGAGCAGAGCGCGCAUCGCCUUCUUCAUACACACUCGAACAAUGAUUGUGUAAUUCGAUCACACCGUCCGUGUCCUUCUCCGCUACUUCAUUCAUCACACCUCGAAACCAAUCGAAUGAGCCCUCCUCUCGAGUCACCCAAUAGAAAUAGGCCCGUUUUGUGUUAAACGCUUUUUUCUUGGUCCUACCACUUCCGUCAGAAUCCGUGGCUCCUCCUCUGGUCUCCCCUUGCUGAAUGUGGUUAAGUACAUCUUUCACGAUGCUUAUCAAUGGGGUGGCUCCAAUCCCUAGCCCGAUGAGUAGCAGUACAUCGUAUUCUUGAUAAUCUUGGGCGGGGGCACCAUAUGGGCCAUCGAUCAAGAGUUUCGGGAAUCUUUAUUUGUAACAAAGUACAUUCUUAAUUAGUUAAGAGAUUCACGAAUCAAGUAUUAAUUACAAAUUUAGUCCCUGAAGUUAUCUAUCAUGGUUUCAAUCAAGUCUUCAGAAUUUCAGUUUUGAUUAUUCAAUCCUUGAAGUCUACACAUAAACUCAAGUCCUCCCAACGUCUGCUGGCUAAACAUGGCCACAUCAGCAUUAUCCUUAAAACACAAAUGCCAAAAACUGCCAUUUCAGCAAAAUACCACUAACGGUGCAGGUGUGGCAUUCUUUUUCAGGCAAUAGACUUGGAAGUUGGAAGGACUUGAAUUCAAGUGGGACAAACUGUAGGGACUAAAUUAAAAAAAGUGAAAAGCUGAGAACGUAAGUGAAAUAGUGAUCAAAUAUCAAGACAACAUUUGUGAGUAGCAAGUGAACUGACUACCGUCACAUGACAUGUAAGUAGAAGUGAAUUGACUGAAAGCACCUUGCGAUGUUUUCUCCUCUGGUAAUGUCAGCUCUGAGGAGCCCACUCUCUUCGAUGGAGGGAGGACGGCAUGCCUGUUUUAUUUCACGGGCAAUAAUCGGACAAAGUCCCUUAGUAAGGAUAUGGUCACACCUGCUAAGGAGAUGCAUCUAUUUAUACUGCACAUUUUGAAAUGGUAGAGUUGUUUUACCUCUGAGAACACUACUCUAAGCCGUGAGGUCCAAUCACCUCUAGUGCGAAUGUGGACACUGAUAUAAUCAUCUCCCGGAGCAGAAGUUAUGGAGAAGGGAUGCCUAAAGAGAGGGGGAGGGGGAGAAUAGGUAAAUGGUGAAGCUUCUGUUUUUUACUCUUGAAAAUAAGACAAAUGAAAAAAAUGGCUUAACAAGUAACAAAGGUAUAGUUACCACUCAAAAGGAGAGACAGCAGAACAAUUAACAAAGAUGUAUUGGCCGCUCUUGUAUCUGAAACCAUGGGGCUUGGACAUAUAAAGAGCUAACACAUUUCCGGGAUACACUGCAACCUGAUGUCAAAAAUGAAAGAAAUCAAAAGGAGUCCAAACAAAAAGGGAAAAAAAAUUGAGCACCCUUUCAUGAUCGGCAAUACAUUUUCUGCACUGAGAAACAUAACUGCAGCUUUGACUUUUGUAGAUUACCAUUCUGAAGGCAAGAGAGAUCAUAAAAGAACUUCAGGAGUAGUAACAGAAUCAUUUGGAGUUCUUUAGCCCAAAAUUAGUUUUACACUCUAAAGCCAUAGAGCUUAUGACAGGGAUUUAGAUGAGAAGAAAAAAAUCAUGACACCAAAUUUUGAGUUUGAACAGUAACAGAGAUGCACUAAUGCCAUUAAAAUAGCCACUACAACACCAUCUCAUAACAUUAGAUUGUGUUACACGCUUUACAUUAAGUCCUCGCAGAAGGUAUCCUAGUUGAAUGGUAAUGAAAACGCAAAGCUCAAAAAGAUCAUACCUUUUGAAUUCUUACAGUCUCAUGACCAGACCUUAAAGCUCGAAGAAGGCGCUCGCAUGCAUAUAAGGUGACAGGAAUGGCAAGGUACAUCCAUGUCUGACAAAAAUUGUAUUAAAUUAAAAUUAAAAGUUUGUUAAUCAAGCUUGUAAAAGAAUAAGAUUUCAAAACUUUUUUAAGUUGCAGCAACUACAAUAUACUUACUGUUUUCUUGUACCACUUCUUGGUCAAAUAGAGGAAUGUCCCAUGGAUAACGAAGAGAACAUAUACAAUAAUGAAGAGGUGGUGGGAGUACCAGAAAGCAUUGAAACCGGUUAGUCGCUUAAGGGGGUUAGAUGGACUUAGCCUGUUUCUGCGAAACCAUGGCUGAGCCAACACAUAGGAUAUUGCCAUCAGGACCACCAUGACCACCCCUGUCCAGCCUUCAGUACCCUUAACAAACCACCAAUAGUUUGGUGGCCGCCGCUCACCAAAGAACGGCUUCAGGGGUUCGUAGUCAGCAUCACUUGCAUGUAGAAGCCGGGGGAAGUCACAUGUCAGGUGAGCCAGUGCAUGUAGCCCGACUCCAACUGCAACACCUGCCGCAAGCACCUAGACAGAAAAAUCAACUUCAUAAACGUCAUCAACAUCAUUAUUAUCCAAAUCCUUUCACUUAUAAGAAUAGAUAGUACAAUAGAAUCAAAAGGUUCAUGGAAGUAGGGUGAAGCUUAGGAUAGGACAAGUUGGUUUCUAAUCAAAAUUUUAGUGCACGUUUAGCAUUAUUUAUGUUCGUUUGUUUUUCUCUAUUUCAAGCUGAAGGCACUAACAAUGGCCUAAAUUUCGCCAUUGUAAAGUGUUGACAAGCUCCAAAUCCCAUUCUGUUCAACAAUAAAGAAUGAAAAGUUAGUAGCAUCUCCCUUUUCUAUCCUUUGUUUUUGUUUAAAGGAUGAGUUUGUGCGCUAACUCUACCCAAGGCGCCUUUAACCACAUACAUUUUGAGAAAAACAUAAAAGAGUGCCAAAUGAGUCAUUAGCUAGAUAAUUCUAUUGUCCAAGACUGUAGAACCUCGUUCUUGCAAAAAUAUUUAUCACGCAAUCUCUCCUAACCUAUUUUACUGCAUGAACUCGCAAUAUUUUUCCGCGAACACAUGAUUGCUAUGCAAAACAUAAUAUCUGUACAAACAUCAAAUCAUGUGCGUAUAAAAUUGGUGGACAGCGUGCAAGGAGAAUCAGACUUAAAACGAAAAAAAAAAAAAAAAGAAACAAUUUAUGCUAAAACAAUACCGAAAAUUUCUAUAUAAAAUUACUCGGAUUAUAUCAUAACUCAUUUACCCAAAGUUUGAGAAGUUGGAUUGGUGAAAAUGCAUACCUUAUGAAAGUUUAGAUUGUCAUUGAAGGGUACAACAGCUCCAAGCUUGGUCUUAGACCUGAUCAAAGUGAUCGUGUUUCUACAUACGGGGAGAAGGAUGAUGGCCAUGUUGAACUUUAUGGUCUCAGCAGCGCCCUUUGCAGUAGCAACACAAUAACCCAUUACAUGGAAAACAUAGCGCUGCCGGUAUUGGAUGAACUUCCAAGUAAAGAGACCAGCACAAAUGGAUAGCCAUAAAAACAUCACCCAAACCCUCUUCCAAUUAUCCUCCAGAAAGUAAGAGACUUUUCGAGUAAAAUGCCGAAAGGCAUUGGUAUCUUUGGUGGGUACAAGCUUUUGGCUUAGAACCUUGCUUAAUUUAGAGCUCUGGGUUGAUAUCGAUGUCGACUCUGUCGGUGGCUGUAGCAAUAGCAUCUCCAAGUUCUCGAGCUGGUAGGAAAUUAUUUUUUGAGGUGAGUGCAAUGUAAAUAUGAUGAUAAAAUAGAGAAUGGAAUAGAAUUGGAAGAACCUCAAUGUAGCCUAAAUGGUUAGGAUCAAGCUCUUCCAUUAUCAGCGCGGUGUACUCAUCAGCACGUUCCUUAAUCUUCGACAACUUGUUUGCUGAUGCACUGAGGGUAAUGAUCUGAAAACGAACUGAUUUUGAUCAAUUAUCUGCAUAUUUAUUUGCAAGAGCUCUCUUCCUAUAAUUAAUAACCUAUUUGGCUAGGCCUCUGGAACAGCUUCUCAAUGCCCAUAAGCAGAGGUUUCCUAAAACCAGGGUUUUGGCAAACAAAAGGUCUGGAGCUUUUCCUAUGCUAGAACCUAUAAUGAGCACAGCAUAUAAGCAGAAGAUCCAAUUUGGAGGUUCUCCUGCUGCACCGUGAAGCCGUUAAGAAGUCAUUCCUACCUCUUUGAAUAGCUCUAUUCAACAACACCUCUACAAAAGCUUCAGCCAAAAGAAGAGACCCUCAGUAAUAAGAAACUACGUGCAUUCAUGCCUUCUACAGAUCCAAUACAUUUGUUGAAAUUACCCUUCAGCCGAAAAAUAUAGGUUAGCAUUCUCAUCAAUUGCGCCUUUAGGGCGUGACUAAAUAUUUUUUACAGUACUAGAGUAAGAGAUCCUGAAUUGAUUAUGGUUUUAGAACUGCAACACGUAAUCCAAAGUCCACAUCAAGGGCUUAUUCCAAAGUCUUGAUCCCAUAUACAAAAAUAGAAACAGAAAAAAUCAGCUCCUUAUGAUCUACUCAUCAUAUCAAGUGUCCUAACCCACCUCUUUGACUUCUUCUUCCGUGAGACGGCCAUCUGCAUUCUUGUCAACCCUGCAGAAACAGACAAAGACAAGUAGUAUUUUUUGUAAGGAGUACUUAAUCUGACUGUCUAAUCAUUGCAGCAUGCUUCAAUUAUAUCACAUGUCUGUAUUAACAUUGAAAAUUAACUCCACCAUUGACUUUAGUGCAUGAUUUAAGUUGCUAAUUAGGGAAAAUAUUCAUGUUAAGCCUUUUAGUUAUUCUAAAGAGUACUCACGAUAUCCAUAAAGUUUCUAAAAUUGAUUAUUUAAUAUGAUGCUGCAAUGCAAAACAGGAUGCAGUUACAUUUUUCAAGCAUUCCAUUCAUAUAUAUAACUAUACAAAAGCAUGUCACAGUUUAGAGCUAAGUUAUUAAGGAGUAUACACUUCUCACAUUUAAGUGGUCACAGAAAAGAGCAGCGAGAGAGCGGAACUGUAAGGAAGUGAAUUCUCGAAAUCCGAGAGUUGAACUUCGUUUAGAAUCGACUUGUUGUCGACCUGGUAUGUUUCGGAGAGUCCGAAUGCGAUGAAAAUGCGAAAAGUGCAUUGAGGGAGGACCUUAGAGAGUUGGAGUUGCGAAUCUGCAUUUCUGCAUGUUUUCCACUCUCGGGGUCCGGACCCUAGCUGCAGGGUCCGGACCCCGUAGCUGCGAGAAGGUUGAGAACCUCAAGUAUGCAGAUUUCGCACUUUUAUAACUCUCGGGGUCCGGACCCUAGUGGUAAGGUCCGAACCCCGUAGCUGCGAAAACCCAUUUGGGUUUGGGGAUUUCAGUUUUCGGAGUUUUCCAACUCUCGGGGUCCGGACCCUAGCUACAGGGUCCGAACCCCGUACCACGAAAAUGCCCAGUGAGGGAUGUGCAAGAGGGACAAAGUUGAGGGGCUUUUAUGCAAUUUGGCCAUAUGAGGGGUUAAGAGAGGGCUUCCACUCUCUCUUUUCUCAUUUCUCCCUCAACCCUCUCAACCCUAACAUCUCUCUCUCUCUCUAGAAAGGAAAGGAAGGAGAAGAAGAGAAGAAAGGAGAAGAAGGAAAGGAAAGAGAAGAAGAUCGAGAAGGGGAUCGUCGUCACCCUCUUCUUCUUCCUCGUGCUUGGAGCAUCUUGGAAAGGUAAGCUUCCAAGCCCUCUCAUGGUAAAUCUCUAGAGUUAAGGUUGUAGGCUUUAGAGAUGGUUCUAGUAGACUCCUUUGAUGCUAGAUAGAUGUUUAUUGCAUGAAUCGGAAAUCGAUUUGGAGUAUUUUGCAAUAGUAGCAUCUAGGGCAUCAAAAAUGGGAUUUUGCUUUAGGAUAGGGUUUGAUCUCGAUUAACCUUCUGUAAACCUAAUUGCUAGGUCUGUGAACGCGUUGGCGAAGUCGGUUUGACGAUUCGUCGAGCUGGUACAAAGAUAUUGAAGAAACGGACGUUCGAGCUUCGUUUCCGCCUGCAGGGCCGAGGCGGCGUCCAUAAAUCGUGAAAACGGAUUCCGAGCAUCGUGGCAACUAACUGAAGAUCUAUAAUUCCCGAAACUGCAAAGCCACGCACAGUUGGUGUGCAACUACGAAAUCGGGCCAAACCGGGUGCCGAGUGCCGCGGGAGGCCGAUUGCAAGUGUCGACAAGCAAUCGGAGAGCGAAUCAAGGUGGGUUGUGCUUACCGAAGCGACUAGGUCGCCCUUUAUGUCUAAGCGAGUUAAGAAUCCAUGUUGAUGCAUAUAAGUGUAAAUGAGGCAUGUAGAUGAUGCAUGUAACUAAUGCCAAAUAAUGCAUGUUGAUAUUAUGAUGCAAUAGAGAUCAUAGAAUGCAUGAUAUGUAAAUACUAGAUAACUGCAUAAAUGCAUGAUUAGCAUUGUGAGAAUAGGCAUGUGAAUGGGUCGAUAACCCUAGAGUGAAUGUAGAACUCGACAUUGGACAACUAGAGUGUCGAAUAGAUCGAGUGGCACCUAACCUAGUAUUAAAGAACAGAGGUUGAACAAGUGAACCUAGAGUCGAACAAGUCUAGAUGUGUGGCAUCGAACCUAGUGUUAGUAAACAUAGGUCGAACAAGUGAACCUAAAAGUUGACCUCUAGGUAGAGAUGAUAUAGAACCUAGCGAUUGUACCUAGGUUAUGUGAUGGAGACAUAGGACCUAGAGUGUUAAAACCUAGGUUAUGACAUGUAGUAAACCUAGAGUGGCAUUGAACCUAGGUUGUUGGGCAUAGUGGUAGCAACCACUAAGAUGUUCUAGGUCGACAGCAUAGGAUUGGUUAUGACCCUCGACCUGUAGAAGUGGAUUCCGGAAUUCCAGGAUCUGUGAUGACCUUGGUAUCAAGGCUAGGGCGUGUGCGAUGAUUUCGCCGCCGAGGUUGAUACUAAGGGAGGAUUGGGGGUGAGUGCACAGAGAUCACCGCCCGGGGCUUGAACCAUUGUCGUGGCGUGUGCGAUGAUUUCGCCGCCGGAUGGUUAAGCCGACUUGUGGAUCAGGCCGCCAGGUGACUUGAGCCAGGUUCAGUGUGUGCGACGAUUUCGCCGCUAAGAGGCUAAGUCACGGAGGGCGGUAGGCUGUUGAGCAGCCAGUGCGCGGAUUAUCCGCGAAUGAUUGACUCGAGGCCGAGUCGAGUGGAUAGCUUGGAUAGGGUAGUAGAAACCUUAUAAGCUAGUGACAGAGGCAAGCGAUAAGGUAAUAGUGACCUUAUGAGCAAGUGAAACCUGAAUUGUGAACCAAGGUAAUAGAAACCUUAAAGAUGAGUUAUAUGAGCUAAAGAUAGCAAGUUGAAUGUAGAAUCAAUAGAUCUACUGAAUGGUUGCAUAAUUGCCUAGAGCUGCAUAUUGUUCAUACUGCACAUCGUGAGGCAUGUUAUCUGUUAGUUGCAUUAUAACAUGAUGAUAUAUAUCUAUAGAUGUUUUUGGACUAAUAUGAUUGCAGUGCCUCCUUGGACCUAUUGGUCGAGCUUUUUCCUUGGGUGGCCGUACCCACUGGGAACUAUGGAGUUGGUUCUCACCCCACGUUGUUUUGGGGUGUUACAGGUUUGCACGUGAGCGGCGCGGCGGCGCGAGGCAAGGGCGUAGCUCCAUAGAUAGCGCCCUACCCCAGAGACCAGAGGUAGCAGUACCCAGAGGUGGUCGAGCUUAGAGGUUUGAAAAACAGAAAACAAACUUGUAAUAUUUGUGAUAAUCGGAUUGUAUUUUGGAAGUUCAAUGUAAACAAAUGUAUUAUGUGGAACUUGAGAAUGAAUGCUUGUAAUAACAUAGGAUGUGUUAUGUUUUUGAUACUUCAUUAUGCAAUCUGUUUGUUGAAAUGUAUUUCUGGUUGGAACUCUUGUAUUGUAUUGAUUGCGACGCCUAGGACGUACCGGAAAAACUCUGUCCGUUCGGCGGUCUGUCGGCGCGCCCGAACCUGACCAAAUAGGCGGGGCUCGGGGCGUGACAGGAACAUAGAUAACUUACUUGAGAAAACGAAAGCAAUUUUGUUAUGGUUAAAUGGUGUUGCAAAAAUAGAAACAACAAUCUUCUUGUUGAAUCAGAGAUUCAUUUACGGAAAUAGAUGUUUCAACCAAGAAACCGAAAUUUUAAGAAGCCAACAGCCUUUAAUUGCGUAUAUCAAAUAUUCUUAGCAUGAAAUUUUGUACUUUGCGAAUAGUAAAUGCAUGGCUUUAGUACUUCCUCAACAGCUACAAGAAAGGGACAAUAAUAGGUGCCAAUAUAAGUUGAACUAGUCAAAUGGCUUUUCUACAGGGAGUUAAAGCCCCACAUUUGGUAUACAAGAAGUCUGGAUUUUCUGGCUGCAGCAGGAAGAGAAAAAUUAUCUCCUAAACUACAAUAGUCUAUCUAAGGUCCCAAUUUGAGCUCCUGUACCUAGCUGCAAUAAGAAGCUCUUGAGAAGAUUUUAACGAGACAAAUUUGUCACUGCUUCUUCAGCGAGUUCUACUCAAAUUAAACAUCACUUUUGUAGAAUCUCUAAACGGACCAAAUAGGUCCAAGAUCUAGUACAUACUACAUAAUACUCCCCCUAAGAAUUCCAGGUUCGAACGAUCCCACGAGAUAAAACGCCACCUAAUUAAAUUGUGAGAAUUACAGGAUAGUGCAAAAGUAGGGAUUUCCUCUGAUCUCCCGUGCCCAAGGGUUGGACACUCUCAAUAGUAUUACAGGAGUUUCCCUACUCAGAUUACCCUACAACCCGUUUGGUUCGGGGAUAAGGGGGGAUAACCCCUUAUCUCCUCCUUUAUACCCAAACGCUAUUUUUCGUAUCUGAGAAUAGUAGUUCUCGGGUACUUGAAAUAAGCUGGUAUAACCUGGUAUAAGCCUGGAAUUGUUGUUCCACCCUUAUCCAUGGAACAACCGAGAACCAGAUUAAUUAAACUCUAAUUAAUAAUUUUAAAUCAUUAAUUAAUCUAAUUAAUAUAUUUAAAUUAUUAAUUAAUCUAAUUAAUAUUAAAUUAUUAUCUCUAGAUAACCCGCUAAGGGUGGGAACAGCUAUUCACACCCCUAUUUUUAUUUUUAAAAUUUAAAAAAUCUAAAUUUUAAAAUUUAUAAUUUUUAAUCUCAAAAUUAUAAUUUAUAAUUUUAAAUUGUAAAUUCUAUACCGUAAAUCUUAAAUCAUCUUAAAUCUUCAAUCUUAAAUCUUCAAUCUUAAAUUUUAAAUUUUUCAAAUUUAAAAUUUGAUAUUUUAUAUUUUUCAAACUUAAAUUUGAUCUCAAAUUUAAAGUUUGAAAUCUAAAAUUUUAAAUUUCAAAUUUUCAAUUUCAAAUUUUGAAAUUUAAAAGUUAAAAUUUAAAAUUUAAAAAUAUAUAUAAAAAUUAAAAAUUUAAAUUNUUUAAAAGUUAAAAUUUAAAAUUUAAAAAUAUAUAUAAAAAUUAAAAAUUUAAAUUCAAAUAUAAUAAGAGGGUAAUAUCAUUAUUUUCUAUUUAUAACUACCCACUAUUCUUUUUAUUGUAUCUUAACUAUCCAAAUCUUUUUUUUUUUAAUUUCCGGGAACAACCCAAUUUUCAUCCAAACGCAAAGUUGGUCUAAUUCUUACUUAUACCUGAGAACUUAUACCUAUCCCUAAAAUAGGCAGGUCUUACUUAUACCCGAACCAAACAAUACCCUAGUGUUCUACACCUGGUUACUGUACAAGGAUGUGUCGGCUGUACAGAAACAUAGUAUGAUAAUUUUGAUCACCAACCAGAGGUUUUCUUCAAAUUUACAGUUAUUGCCUAUGAGAACAUAGAAGCUAAAUAAUCCCAUCGUGUUACAUAAGGUAGAUAUUGUAUAAUUGCUCAUCCAGGUCAGUUCUUAUCUUUUGAGCUAUCUCACAUCCUGCCCCGCCUUUUUAGAAGGGAGUAGAACAAAGACUUUUCAUUCAUCAUUCAAUACCAUUCAUAUGCAGACUUCAUCUACGCGAGAAUGUAGGUUGGGAUCCCUUCUUAUGGGUUAGUGGAAUCUUUAUGCCCAAAAAGUCUAAAGUAUAUACUGUAGGAUACCGAACUUCUGAAAGUAAGAAGUUACGGUAGGAUAUAGUAUGUCGAAAUUUAUUAUAAAAAAAAAAUAUAUAUAUAUAUAUAUAAUAGUGUGAGAUACUAUUUUUAUGGGACUCAUAGAAGUAAAGUAUAAGUUGGAAAUGACCUAUGCUGAAAUCGGAGCGAAAACAGAAGAUUUAGAAUUUUCUAUGAGAAACGAGGCAGAUAAAUUAGCAGAAAAUGCAGUGUCAGAAAAUUAUGAAAACUGGAGGAUAUGUCAGAAUUAUUUUUAUGAGGCUAGAUUUAAAGUUUCAUGUCAUUCUGACACCCGGAAGGUGAGAAAUAAAAUCGAACUUCUAUCUGCUAAAGAUUACAGUUCGGCACAGCUUUCGGUGACCAAACGGGAUCGAAACUGAAAACUUAAGAUAUAUUCUUGCUCAGUACGUUAAACCGAGCCUGCCUGUCAAAUUUGAGCGCAAACGGACAUACAGAAGGGCUCCGACUGUUCCGAAGUGCUAAACUGCAAGUUGUAAUAGGUGUAAGAGGGGGGGGUUUUGUGCAAUUGUUACAGCACCUAUAGGUGGCUGGCUGCAUGCGUACACACACACACGCACACACCUUCUCCUCUCCCUCACACAUGCAACCAAAGAAGAAAAAGAAAAACCCUCUCAUUCUCUCUCUUGAGGGUGGAAUCAAGAGAAGGAUUUGGUGGAAAAGCAAGUUUGGAAGUUAAUCUUCAUCUCUUUCAUCUUCUUCCUCUCCAUUGGAGCUUGCUUGAGAGGUAAGCUUGGAUGCCCUUUAAUGAUAGAAUUUUAGGGCUUCAUUUAUAUGCUCUAAAAAUGGAUUUAUUAGAAUCCUAUGAUGCUAAAUAGAUGAUUGUUGCCUAAAUCAUGGAUCAAUUCAGUGAAUUCUUGCAAUAGAUGAAACCUAGGGUUCAAAAUGCAAUUUUUGGAAAUAUGGGGGUUUGAUCUCAAUUAACCCUCUGUAAACCUAAUUGCUAGAUUUCUAAACGCGUUGGCGAAGACGGUUCGUCGAUUCGUCGAGCGAGUGCGGAGUUAUCGCCGGAACAAGCGCUCGAGGGUUCGUAUUGACCCGAAGAGUUGAGGCGGCGACCAAGGAUCGCGACGUCGAGUUUUCUAACUUCACGGCACUACCAAGAGGUGGGUGGUGACCAUUCCGAAGCAACUGGACUUCCCUUUAUGUCUUAGUAUGUUAUGAUCUUGCAUCUUGCACUUAUAUGCAUUGUAGGGUAAUUAUGUACCGUCAUUCCUUAUGCUUUCCUAGCUAAUAUUAUAGUGCGAAUUGGAUGCUUGAUAUAGUGGGUUGAUAAGGAUUGGGUCGAUACUUGUGAAUCCUAUAGUGCGGAGAUAAGUGAUAGGCUCUUUGAUUGACAAAAAGAGAAUGAAUGACAUGUAGAUAACAAUGACAAAAGAACAAGUGGCAUCUAGUUAACAAUGAAUAUAAGAACGAGUGGCACAUGUGAAUCUUGACGAGUGGCAUACAAGAACGAAUGGCACAUGUGAACGAGUGGCAUAUAAGAACGAGUGGCACAGGGGAGGUGCUGUCCGUUCGGCGUCUGUUUGACUCGCCCGAACUGGACCGAAUUGGUUUCAGGGUCGGGGCGUGACAGAUAAAGUGGUAUCAGAGCCGUUAAGAGCAAGUAAAGAGAUAGUCUAGACCUAUGAGACCCUAGGUUGGUAAACCCUAAGAUUAUAGGGGCGUGAGUGAACGCGAACCCAUGACGGUGGCGGAAGUUGAUCGAUUGGGUCCGAGUUGAUGUUAUGUCUCUAGCUGUGAAUAGAGACGGAUCCAAGUGACACUAGUUUCUUGGCUCGUAGUGGUUGUGUCGGCGGCCGACGACGCGACGCUAAGAGUCCAGAACUAGAACACUUGUGUGCUUCCGCCCGAUUUCAUUGUCGAGUCAUUUAAUUUCGCGAACGUUAAGAAGUUAUCAGGUUAAGAUAACUAACCAAGUUGUUGCUUUUCAGGAGCAAAUGUUCCCAAGACGCUACGUACGUCGGUCCGUUCCGGUACCGCCUCCUGCGGUGCCCGAGCGAUCUGGAUCAGAGGUGCAGGAACUGCGCGAGCAGAUCGCUGCGAUGGUGGGCGCGAUGCAGCGCCAGGAGACUCGGUUUGAGCAGCUCCAAGGGUUCGUGGAGCGGCAGGUGGCGGCGGCAGCGGC